rnacentral:lncRNA from 1 species
AAACGACGACAUUAGGAAACGGAAAAUCAUGCAACUCAGAAAACCAUUGCUCUAGUCCAAAUGAGGUUCUUCAAUGCCUCAAGCUUUUCUAAACACCAUAGCCUGAACCUUUUCCUUUGCGCCUUCUUUACUUCACCAGAAACGUUCUUAAUGAGCUCUUCUUCAAAUUUGGGACGAGCAGGCAUUAGGCUGUGCACAAUGCUGUAAAUGCUCCUAGCCCUUGCCACACCCUAGGCGCAUACGCGUGCAUGUCCGACCUGAGUUAUCUCAUUACGCGCGCAGUUUGAUCUUCCCGUAUUGACAUCCCUGCUGUCUAUUCUCCUGCGAAUCCUUCUACUGGUGACUUCAUCCGGGUCCAUUUUCUUGCUCCUCAGUGCAUGUUCAUCUGCUUUUCCAUGUUAAUAGAUAUAGGAAUCCUAUGAGAAACAACAUUUGACAAAACAGAACCUAAUAAUAACAACAAAACUUGACUUCAUCCUCAGUGCAUGUUCAUCUGCUUUUCCAUUUCAAAGCAGCUGACGGCAUGAUUCGUACUUGGACUCCAAGAUGUCUAGAUUAUAGGGAAACCAGCCCUCUAUCCAAAACACACAAAGAAGUGUAUUUUCCGUUUAUACCAAUUAAGUGUGUUGAAGCAUGUCCCACAUGGCCACAUCGGAAACUUGUCGAAGCUUAAAUCCUCUUAUAUAGAAAGUUGAACUACUAAUGCCAUGAGGCCUUAAUUUUGUAUAAAACCAUACUUAUUGAAUUGCACACGUGCUUAAGUUAAGGUCAGUAUUGAUGGCAAUUAGUAGUGGGCCGCUGGGCCGUCUUAAAAAAACUGGUACAAAGGGCAAUUUAUAGAAGCAGUGUUGAGAUAAGGGCAAUUCACCUGUUCCUUUUAGAAGGAUAUAUACGAAUGAAGCAAGGUUUAUCUACUCACCCGUAAUGCGGCUCAGCCCUUCAUAAAAAAGUGAAAGAUCAAAAUUACUUUUACAGCAAGAGCAAUACCAGAAGAUGUAAUCUAAAUUAUUUAUAUUUGGUUCCCUUGAAAUCCUUUUGACUGCUUCAACAUACUAUAUGCAAACAGAACCAGAACCAAGUCCAGACUCACUCGUAAGAGGAAGUCCACCGGGGGUGGGAUAGGUCGGCACCCAAUGGAAAAAACAGGCUGAGACUCAGCCAAUCCACUCCAGCCCGUGGAAUCGACUGGCACCCAGCCCAAGCCAGUCCACAGGCCGACCUAAAAUUGACAGACCUUGGGACCGGCUCAAAUGACAACUAGCUGACGCCAGCGUGGUGUCGAGGGCAAGGAGCCACGGAGGCAAGGCAAAGACCAACUUCCCCACCCCCACUAAGCUCCAUCUCGACGCCGUCAACAUCGCCAACAUGAACAAUGCCGCCAAAUUAGCUGCGACGACGAACAUCAGCAACAGCCACAGCAGCACCGUGGAGUCCUCCUCCUUGCCGUCUCCGCGCCCGCUCGACCUCACUCUCAAAACCCCCCUCUUGUCCACCGACAGCGGCUACUUCACUGCUGCGAGCGGCUUCCGCCUGCUUCCCGCUUCCCGGGAAUUAUCCUUCCGCGAAAGAUCCCCCCGCGAAACUUGUAGGUUCGACCACCCCCCCUCCCCCACGAAACAUCCCCAUAUUUUCCUUCCGGACCAAGUUUGUUCCUCUUUUAUGUAAGAAACAAAAUCCCUGCCCAGCUUUAUAAUAAUUAAUUUAUAAUAAAAAAUAAAUAUUUUUAUUAUUUUAUAAUAAAAAUAAUAUUUUAAUAAAAUUGACUAGGCUAUUUUUUGUUAGGGAUAGAGAUGCAUUGGCCUAUUACUAUUCAUUAGAGUCUAUCGGGAAUGGAUAAAUGGGUUGGGUGCUGGCAUAAAGUCCUUAGAGGUGGACUUGCUCUAAUAGGUCUCCUCAUCCACAACAAUAUCCCAGCUUUCCCUUGUCGUGGUUUUCCCAUAUUUGUGCACCUUACUGCAAAGAGAGAGCAAGUUAACUUGUCAAAGAAAAACCAGAACAAUAGAUGCCAAUGCAGUUCAGAAAGCUUAUUUCCCUUCAUACCCAUUUCCAAAGUGCUCCUCCCCACGUCCUUGACCAACCUAGACAUGAGACAACAAAAACAAAGUUACAUCAGAUUAAAUUAUUGAAAGAAAAAGGUUCACUUCUGUUGUAACAAAUUGACAUUAGAAUCAAGCAACCACGCUAUGAAAUACAAAGUUAAAAUGUAACAAUUUACUGUGUCUUAAAGGAAUCUGUGAAAUAAAAUAGUUAAACCCUAAACAACACCACUGCAAAUUAGGGGUGGGCGCGGUUCAGUUUUGAUUGAAACCAAAACCAAAACCGCAAGUUUUUGCGGUUUGGUUCGGUGCGGUUUUGAAGCCAAAACCAAAAUGAAACCAAACCGUUUGGUUCGGUUCGGUGCAAUUUCAAACGGUUUCAGUUUGGUUUUUAAGAAAAAAUGUACGAUUUGCAAUUUAACAUAUUAAAAAGCAUUUCCCAAUAGUAAUAGGAAAAUGACAUUUGUUAUGUAAACAAUUAGCAUGUUGCAUGUAGUUGUGAUGUUAAAACAUGUUUGUGCAACAAAAAGGUGUCCCUUACAAUAUUUUUCAUAAAACAAGUUGAAUAAAUUUGAAUUCAUUAAACGUGAGCGAAAUUUUCAUACUAGAAUAUGUGAUAUCAUGCUUCAAAUGAGUGGCCUUUAGUAGAUCAUUGUUCGACUCUUGAUAACAAGAUUAGUCCACCCUUGUACAUAUAUGUGUGUGUGAUGGUAUAAAAUAACAAAGGUCAUUCAAGUUAAUGAACAAAAGAGAGUGAUGAAUGAUGAUAUUCUAGUGUGGUUGAGUCCAUACUAAGUGUAUGGAUUUUAACAAACGACCAAUUAAAACAUGAAAUCUAAUAUGGACAUUUAAUUAAAUGUUUAUUAAUAUUUGCGGUGCGGUUUUCAAAAGCCAAAACCGAAACCAAACCGUUUUCUAUGUUGCGGUUCGGUUACAAAACCGAAACCGUUUCAAAACCGCAAAACCAAACCGUUCGGUGCGGUUCGAUUUGGUUCGUGUUUCGAUUUCGGUUUUCGGUUCUAAGUGCCCACCCCUACUGCAAAUAGCAUAAGAAAAUUAAAAUUAACCCUAAAGAAAUUGGGAGAGAAGAAUAUGAAAAGGGAAUACCUUUCGGCCCUUUGAGUUAUUGGAAAAAACCCAACAGAGCAAAAGAUAAGCAAAAAUACAGGAGGAAAGAAAAUAAAUUUUCAACUUGUAAGAUUCAUACGCGAACAUAUUGGCGGUCAAAAGCAUUUCGGAACUCAGAGCCAUCAAGCUUUUUGAUCUGCAUGGAAAUUAUUUAUGAAGUUUGAGAUUCUUAUAGACGCUUUAGACACAUCGACAUAUUGAAAAAGCAAUAUUCAACAACCUAGUACCCAUGCUCCAUGAAAGGUUACAGAAAAUAUGAAUGACUGGACUCUGGAGUGAGAAAGUAAAAGGACUUACCGCAUACUUCAUAUCUUCUAAGUUUGUGUAGUCUACAAUCCCUGUUGUGCCUACAAAAAAGGCAUAGGACAAAAGCUAAAUCAAUCGAAAUUCUGAUGUCUCAUGAUCUAGGUCGUAGGAUUAAACUACUGAAAUAACACUAUAUGAAAUAGCAGUGUAUAUCCCAAAAAAAGUCUGAAAUCUGGUUGAUAAUUGAAGAGUUCGAAGGGAUUUACCUUUGGAUUCUUUGGCUUUCAGAUGGAGUUUGCUUAUGUGUGGGGGAGAGAGGUGGAGCGGCUAGAGCUUGAGUAUGGAAGAGAUGAAAAAUGCAGAGAGCACCUGUUUUGGCUGAAGCAACUCACACACUCUGGACAAAUCUGCAAAUGUCUAAAAGGGGGAAAAUAUAAAAAGAAACCUUAACAACUGAAUUCAAAGAAACAUUAUUACAUUGUAAAUAACAUUUCACAAAAAAAAAAAAAAACUAAACUAAACUAAUUACACUCGGAUUGCAAUGCUAUCAUUUAAUAAUAGGAAUUCCCAUAACUUAGCAGAAGACCUGCAUCUGCAAAGGAUUCUUUAAAACCUAUUUUUUUUAACAACCCCGCACCUGCAACACAUCCAGGCAAGGUAAACCAAUAGCACCCUCAUGCUGAGCUCUUCUGUGCAUAUAUACCCCUUAUAAGUAAUCUUAAUCAAUCAGUUAUCAUGAAUAUAGUCAGUUAUCAUGAAUAUACAACUUAUAUUAAUUUUCUACAAUAUCCAACACACAAAUAUAACAGAAGAGGAAACUUUUACUUAAGCAGCACAAAAUGAUAUCCUCUGCAUUUCAUUCCAAAAUCCAUCACUCUUAUGUCUUUGCCUGCACAGUUUUUGCUCCAACAUAGCACACCAUGAUGAUAGCACUAUCAAUAAUUAAGACAUAAAGAAAGGCUAUCCUAGCUAGGUAUUAUCAUUGGAGUAAACCAACAACACCAUAAGUAAAGUAGCAGACCAAAUUUUUUCUAGAAUUGAUGUCUUAACAUGUUUAAGUAGCGAAAAGAUUACAACACAUUGGAUGUGUUAACACAUCCAUAAGCUAAUGACUCCCUCUCCAGUUUACCGCAUCAUUCUUAAUGUAUUCAACAAUGCAGCAGUAAUUAAAAGUCCUUGGAAAAUGCCAAGCUACUACAAUGACAUAACGAAAACUAUAUCUCACCAUACCCCCUUGUUGGCAUAGACAGCAUAUCCGUCCUUGUUCAGGGUGAAUCAUUAUCCUGAACUCAAUUAUCAUCAUCGUCGAGAAUGUCAAACUUUAAAUCAACCAUGCAUGGAACAAAACCUAGAAAUUAAACAAUUAUCAAAGCUUAUGAAGAAUGCUAAACCCAACUAAUUCGAAACAUAAAGUAACCCAAAAGAGAGAAAACUUAUAAAUUUUACAUAAAUUAUAAUCCUUAACAGAAGGAUGGAACAAAGCAUGUUCAUUCUUGAGAAUAGGUGUAAUUUUGCACAUUGCAUAUAUGUACAUUAAGGACGGUGGUAACAUACCUUGUAAUUUGUACAAAUUAGGAUUUUCAUUCAAAGAACCAUAAUAUACACAAUUACAAAAACAGUGAUACAAACUUGUUCUUCUCUUAAGGAAAUUACUCACAGUUGAAAUUCUGAAUGGACAAAGUUUUGGCAUCCCUUUCCGACUAUAUUUGAUUAACCUUUUUUUAAUCCAAUGAGUGCCUUCAUGAGAGAGAGAGAGAGAGAGAGAGAGAGAGAGAGAGAGAGAGAGGAAUAUUCGGUGAAAAGUAUUGCCAAAUCACACAGAGAUCAAAAUCUUGAAUAUAUAUGUUUAACCAUAUCAAAGUGAGUGUGUGAAAGGGUGUAGUCUGCAGAAAGGGCAACAUUUUCACUGCUAGAAAGUUGGAAACUAAACUUUUACACAGAUAUUGGAUUUUAUUAAUUCCCUCCGCGAAUUGAAAAGCAAAUUGUUCGAGUAAUGCAGGUAAAUUCGAUAUACAUAUGCGUUGAUCUAUGUAAGACGGUUAUAAGUUAUAACUGUAUCGUCUUAACACAAAAAAUGAUCAUAAAUGUAAGUGUCUGUAUUAUGGAAGUAAGGGACUUGCAGCAAUUGCUAUGAGCUCUAACAGCAGUCACUCCAAGUACCCUAUUAUGGAAGUAAGGGACUUAGUAAGGGACUUACAUCAAUUGCUAUGAGCUCUACCAGCAGUCUCUCAAAGUGGUGCAAGGGCUAAAAUUAUAAAUAAAAAGUAAUUUAAACAAUUUAACUUAAUAAAAUAUUGUAAUUUAAACAAUGCCUAUAUAUUCAAACAUCCCAAAACAGGAAUGAACUUCCAGAAAACAUGCGCAUGAAAAUAAACGGCAUUACUCACCCAUUGAGUUGGACCAUCAAACUAGAGCGUAAGAAGGAUCAUCAUGUACCUAUGAAACCCAAAGGAAAAUUUUAGCAACCCCAAAGCUUGUAUGCAAGCGUGAAUAAGUAUGCAUGUAUGAAUCUAUUCAUAGUGAAGAAGGCUACCUUAAGAAAUAUUUGCAUCUGCAGCUUCAUAUGGCCAUACAACAAAAAGCACCGCAUAUGAUAACAAACCCCAGCUGCACCACAAAAGGAAUAUGAUCUUCCUCUCAACUUGUAUUUGUAGUUGUUACUGUAACAUCUGCAGACAGCAUACAUAAGCACUGAUUCGAUAAUUCUAAAGGGAAAAAAGUCCUUAUUCGAUAAUGCACCAAAUCCUAUCCAAAAACCAAGUGGGUGCCAUAUCCCUAGAUUAACAGAGCAUCUUUCUUUGUUCCAAAACAAAUUGCAAUUGGCUUUGGUAAAGUAGAAAGAUUACCAGAUACCGACUCUGUUCCAUUAUUCGACUGUCCUUUUAGUUCUGUCUCUCAACAUGGGAAAUACAAUAAGACAGUAAAAACAAAAGUUAGUGAUGCUAUUACAUAGUGAAAGAAAAUAAGACAUUCACAUAUUGAUAGCUAUUUACUGUCCUUUCUCAUCAUAAUCUUGGCCCCUAUAUAUACAUAUAUUGAAUUUUGAAAGCAAUGAGAGAAAUAUACCUUUGGGGCGUCACCGCCAGAAGGGUGAGUGAGGGAUCUAAGAUGUUUAAGAGCAGGAAUUUUUAAGUAAUUUGUGUGAAAAAGUUGAAGAGCUUCGAACAUAGUGGAGUGGGUUGGCCUGGGCUAAAAUAAAGAGGAUGAACUCUAGAAAGUAGAAAAUGUUGUUGUUCAACCAAACUCAAAAGUAAAGAAACCAUAUGAUUAACAUAUAAAUAAGUUUUAUAUACCAAUGUUUACAUGUACGUUGUUUGAGAAGGUAAAUUAGCAACAUAUACAGUGAUCAAAAGAUUAACAGCAAUAAACUGCUCAUUAUUCGAAAUAUACAAGAAAGUUGUCAUUCACAUGAUCCAAAUGGCAGAGGACAAAACAGAAGGAAGCAAAUAUUAUAGCAGCAUAAGUUGAAUAAUUGCAGCAAGUAAACAAAUAGAAAGGCUAGCUAGAUUACACAAUCCAGUUCUAGGUCGGACUAACCAUGUUAGCCAUCCGCCCACCACCAGCACCGUCGGCUUCUUAUUAAAAAUGUAGAAUAGAAGACUAAAAAAUUGGAAAUGAAAGCAGGUAACAUUGAGUUUUAAUAACCAAAAAGGGACACUGUUUAAGCAGCUCCACAACAGCAAUAAUACUUGGAUGAUGACCUGCAAAAACAGAAAAGAAAACACAAAUUAAACUAAAAAAAUAUAAAAUUUAACACUAAUCCAAGGAUUAAAUAUCAAAUAUAAAUUCAUUAGGAUUGGGACCUUUGCAUUGAGGAAUAUCUACUACAUUAUGAGUUCCCUCUUGAUAAAGCCCAAUCAGGGGGUUUUUCGAUGAGCCAAGAACGGCUAACUUUGCGUGACACCGCCAUCCCCACUAACACCAAACCCAGAUAAUAUCAAGAUCAAAACUAACCAAUACCAGAAAGAUUUUUUUAUUUAAAUUUUAAGAAAAGACCUAAACUUUACGAAAUUAAGGGGGAAAACAAAGUUAAGUAAAGCACCAAUUUGCAACUGUCAAAAGUGAAAUAUGAGACUCCAACUGUCUAGAAGAACUCCGUGGCCUCAUCGACGAUGACCGGAUGGUGGAGAUUGAACUGGUGCGUACACCCGAAACACCUGAUUAUACACCGAACAGAGAACAAAAUUUAAAUCAAGUCGAACAAUAAUUAUGAGAAAAUAAACUAAAAGGGAUUUGAGCUGAGAGUUACGAUUCGAAGUGCGGGCAAUGGAGGGUGCAGGUUAGCGGCGGCAGAGAAGGGGUUGAGCUUGGGUUCAGGUCCGUUUUAGGAGGUGGAGGCUCUUGAUAGAAGAUUGGCAUUGGAGUCGUUUUACAAAUCAGUUUCUUCCUGAACAUCCUAAUGUCAGCUUCUAGAGUUUCCUGUAAAAGAACAGACAACAUUCAUAAUAAGAAAAUCUCUCUAUGCAAUCGCAGAAAUCCCUCGGGUUUCAGGAAGCAAAUGGAAAAUGAAAUGCUUUUCUCCCGUAUCUCUCUCUCUCACCUCUGUCCCAUCUCUCUGUCUCCAAAUCGCAGAAAAGAAACCCUAAACAAAUCCCUGAAAUCCCUCGCCUAAAUCCUCCUACAUUUCUCUCGGACAACCCCCUCUUUCUCUUUGCAAACCCUAAACCAAAUCUCCUAAAUCCUAUCUCAGGCACCACACAUACAGCCAAGAAGCCAAGAUAUUAAAGCAAUCUCUAUAUAAUACUUUGGAACAAUGAAGAAAAAUGGUACUUACUUGUUCCUUGUCCAAAACAGUUGGUGCCGCCGCACAUUGUUAUCAAUUGUGGGUUGAUCAAAUCCUUCAUGGCUUAGACUGCAUGAAGAAUUAGAAACUAAAAGAUGAAUAUAUGCCGUAAAUCAUCAUAUAAAUGUAACUGCAUUUAAAAAAAGAAGGGAAUGACAAAAUUGAAUUCUAUUUCAUCAGUAUGUAACUGCAUGAAAAGUUACUUUGAAUGAAGACUCGAUCAAUUUCCCCAAAGUCAUUGUUAACUGAAAAUCAAUAUCAAACCCAUAAAUACCACAUUGAAUUUGACCAAGUUAAAGGAUAAAGGCAGUCGCAUCAUCGUAUUACUCUUUGGGAAGAUCUUCUAAUAAUGGUUCUUCCUUUUUCUUGCUCUUCCUCAGAACUGCCAUAAAAACCCCAGAGAAGCAUACAAAUUCAGAAAAGAAAAGGUUCAAAACUGCCAUAAAAAAAAUCCAGAAAGCAUACAAAUUUAUCAGAAAGAAAAGUUCAAAUUACAAAUACCAAAUGAUGUGAGUGAGUAGUGAGAGGUUGUGUUAGGCACCUGAAACACAUUUUGGUUUCAAUUGAAAGGGCCAGAGACAACAUCCACAUUCUUUUUUCUUGGGUGAACUAACCAAAUCAUAUUAUAUACUAAAAUGACAUAAAAAAUCAUUCACAAACUCACAACAAAAUAGAACAAAAAGAUUCACAAAAGAUUUGGGAGUUGAGACGCUAACAAAAACAUUUCUUUUCUAAACAAAUACACAACCGCUAAUCUGGGUUUGGUCAAUUUAACUAAAACGGUGCGCUAUUUUGCAUCUAAAUAUAGUAUAUCGCUUAAAUAAAAUUAAUAAAAAAUACACAUCCAAAGCUUUUAGUCCAAAGCUAGAAUUAGGAAUAACUGAGGAAGUUAAUGAAGGCAAAGCAGAGGGUAGGAUGCAGAACAUACCAAGAGACCAGUAGGCCAUCGGGGCCGGUCUGCCGAUGAACGCUGUGUACUGGUCGACAACGCCCAACGGAGUCGGCGCAGAAAAAAAGUAAAAGUCGAAACCACCCCCAAUGACUUUGUAGGUGAGAGAAGUCCCUAUGUAGAACACAUUCAUGCCAUUGCUGUUGAGCAGCAGAACGCAGUGCGCGUAAGCCUCGUUGCCCACAUUCCGGAGAUCCAUGUAAACUGGGUGGGACCCGUACAAAUCAGUGUUGAGAUUGAUCGCCGAGAAGUCAGUGGUGAAGAUGAUGUAUGGAUCGUUCGGGUAGAGCUUGAUCCCGUGCGGCUGAGAGUUCUCUUCGAGGCCGUACAAGGAGGAGUCUUUCGGCACUCGGGUGGAUAUCUUGAUGUCUGGUCCUUAAACACCAGUACUAGUCCAAUAAACCACUCCGCUUUUAUUGAUUUUCAAUUCAUGUUCAUUCGGGUCCCAAACAAGACUGAACGGCCCCGGAGCCGGGUUGUAGGUAUCUACAUAUGAUAUAAGUGCCCAGACGUGGCCAGCACUGCGGUUGACACCUAACUUCAUACCCGGUAAAAAUGUGUCUCCAGGAUAAUCACUUCAGCAGAUCGAGGGUGAUUUGAGGUGUUUUCCCGCUGAAUUGGACUUCGACCCAGGUAUGAAAGUUGUUCCUCUUAUCGAGAUCUUCAUUCAUGUAAAAUUUGGGAAUUUUAGAAUUGUUGAAUUCUUCGGCGAGUCAGGGCUACCAGCCGCCACGUGCUUCGGCGCGUGGCCCUUUGGCCGCCGUCCCAUGGCGGCUCGUGCGGUGAUGUAUGCAGGAAAACCUAAGGUUCCUCCUUAGGUUUUUCGAUGUACCAAACCCGAAUCCGCCGUCCUUUUUCCAAAAUUCUAACGUUUUCAUAGAGUUUUAUUAAACGACCUUUAAUUGUGUUUAGGUGCAUCGGUGGAAGUGACCUCAUUCUUGAUGGUUCGAGCGGCUUUCGGGCAAUGGAAAACUUGUGAGUAGACCCCUUCUAAACUUAUAUAUUGUUAUAAAAUAUUAGCCUAGCAUGCAUUCCAUAUUUCAUGAUUUGAAUAUGAUUUAUAAUAUGCUUUAUGGACUUUUAAUUAUGGUUUACGAAAUAGUUUGAUUUAUCGAAAUUACGUUUUAUUAGGUAUUGAAUUAUUGGAUUUGCAUAUAUGGAUUUCUAUGGUUUUCAAAUACGAUUUAUAUUACGGUUUUACGAACAUGAAUUAUUUUAUGGAUUUCAUGAAUACAAUUUAUCUUGGAUUUAUGAGAUGAGACUUUGAGCUAGUGAGCUCCGGGUUUGAUAUGAGUUUUGAGAUAUGUUUUUGGUACUUAUCUAGUGGGUUAUCAUACAGCACAUCCGCACACCACGGGUAUAGAUGUGUAUGGCCAUAGGACACAGAUGAUGAGGAGGAGUAAGAUAUGAUAUAUUAUAUACCCCCAGUUCACUAUCGAAAGCAGUGUCAGAUAACCUCACUAGCCAUGGCUAGUGUCGGUAUGGAUGUUAUGCUAUUUCAUACAGCUUCACCUUCGGGUGAUAGACAGGUUAUUUAGCUUCACCGUCGGGGUGAUGGACAUGUACUACCUUCGGCCAACUAUGAUAGCCUUAGUUGAGCACUUCACUGACAAGAUUUACAAAUUUGCCUUCGGGCAACGACAUUUUCAUUAUCAAGCACUGGAUUUUACAUAUCUACCUUCUAAAUGGAUUUUCAUGGCAUGCUAGGGUUUUUCAUAAAGCCUAUAUGUAGUAUUAUAUAUGUUUUCAAAAUAAGGGGUUAUUAUGUUCAUAAAUAAAAUGUUUUCCUAUUAUUAGUAUUAUUAAUAUAAACUUUGGUCCACUCACCUUUUCAGUUUUUGCGCCUCCUCAGGAGUUAGGAUCGAGGCACAUGAUCCCGGCAUCAUGGCAUGUUGAUAUAGGUAUCCUUGAAUCUUCUCAGUGUAGGUAUCAUUCCCUUAUUCAUAUCUUUUUAUAGUGAUUCUUCCCUAUUAUUUCUAAUUAGUUGUAUGCUCUAAACACAUUCCUGCUUUGGUAAUCGUUAUAACUACUUAUCUUGUAAUUGUUUGCAUGUUUAAAAUGGUUUUGUCACCCUUGGGCGUGGGCUAGCACGUGCCUACCCUGGUAUGUUGGGAUAUCGGGGUUGGGGCGUGUCAAAGAUAGAGAGUGAAUUUCUAGCAGAUUCAAUGGUUGUCUACAUUUUAAAAAGAGCUUGCCGAAAAGAUUGAUUCAGAUGAAAUAACAAAGGAUUUCAAUUCCAUUAAGGAUUGAAGGGCACAACUUGAAUAGGUAUUUUUCUUUUUAUUUGUUAGGUUGUUAUGACAAGAUUGACGAUGUAUGUUUCUUUAUAUUGUAAGUUGCAACUUUAAAGGUUUUCUUUGUUAAAUCUAGUUGAAACUUGAUUCAUUUAGAGUUAAAUUUCUUACUUCAAAUUGUUGCUUUUAGGCUUAUUAUUGUGUAACUUUAUGCAAGCAACAAAAAAUUUUAACCAUUUGAUUUUGUACUAAUAAUUUUAGCUUAGCAUGCCACCAAAUAAUUCAUGGCUCCGCUAUUGAAAUCUUAGCAUGUGCAAUUUCAAAGUCUCGGUUGCCAAGUCUCCCCAGGCUGUUCAGCACCCAUUCUGAAUCUUGAUCGAGAUCUAGAGCAGUGCAAGUCAAGGAGUCUUCAUUCUCAUUUGAAACAAUGCUAAAAUUAUACCUCAGCUUGGACUCCUUGGGCAAAAUAUACCCAAAUGUAUUAGUACUACUUGUGGAUACACCACUAGUCCAAAAAAAUCACCUCUCCUUUCUUAAUCUUCAAUUGGUGAGGGUCCCAAUCAAGCGUGAAAGGCCCCGGCGCACGGUUGGCUUUAGUUUCCCAUGAUGAAAUCCACGAAACAUGGCCGUUUGUACGGUUGACACCCAAUUUCAUGCCCGGUAAAAAGGUGUCAACUGGUAAUCAAAGCUUUACGUUCACUUCUUCUUGUACAAAAUUUCCCGAAUCCAAAAGGAUAGCCACAACAGUAGCAAUACUGUUACUUAUGUUGGUAGACCUAGUAGUUUGUGGAGCUGAGAAAAACGCAAUUGGAUUAGGAUCCCCCCCGCAUAAUUUUCAAGGUUUUAUUCCUGUCCAAGGCAAGAGUGCGUACAAAAUAGGGGCUUUACGGUUGCAAAUCCAAGCAAUGUUGCCAUCGGCCUUGUUGCUCUGGAUAGAUACGUAGCUGGUGCUUUUGGAACUGUCGUCGUGUACACAGGAACUGAAACUGAACUUCUCCGAUGCAGAGACCAAAGAAUUUGAGGAGUUGAGAGUGUCUCCUGCUGGUUUCAGUGUGUCCCUUGCAGGUCCACAGUCAGCAUGCAAAAAUGAUUAAGUUGAUUAUUGCCAUGAUUAAUUAAUGACCAUAACAUGAAGUUUAAUUUCUCCAUAUGAUGAGGAAGAAAGACAUGAAAUCCAUCACCAGAACAUGAUUAAGAAUUUAAUCAAGCAACGCGUCUCAGUUAAACCAUUACAAUCUUUGUACAAGGCAUUUAUAAAUUAAAAAAAAAGGGAAUAAAGUAAUAAUUACAAGUUUUACACAAGUGACCAUUUAUUACAAUGGUGGAAAGGUGUUAAGCUUUUGCAUGACGGUGUGAGUUCGAACCUCGUCGGUAGUUAAUCUACGAACCCCGUCGGUAGUUAAUUUAACUUCUAAUCUAAUAAAAUCUAUUUUUUGACCAAAAAAAAAAUAAUUACAAGUUUUACUAAAAAUUUAGGGGUGUGAUAUCCACACACCCCUUUUUACUUCUCUUACACCUUUUUUAUUUUCGACCGUCGGAUAUGAUGAAUUGAAGAAAAUCAACGGACAAAAAUUAACAAGGAAUGUGUGAGAAGUAAAAAGGGGUGUGUGGAUAGCACACCCCAAAAUUUAUCGGAAGACUUGAUCACCCAUUUGUAUGCUGACAACGGUGACUAGAUUCACAACCUCUUUCCCACGUAAAUCACAUCAUCCAAUUUUAUUUUUCUUACAACAUAUCACGUAUCUGUCAUAUGCAAGACUUUUUUUUUUUGUUUAACAUGAAAACGAAGACUUUUUUGGAAUAUGGAGAGUGAAAUUGCAGCGGAAGCAUCCUAGAUUUUUGAUCGAAUAUUGAGUUUGGUUUCAUGCCAGACUUCCUGGAUCAAACACACCCUAAAAAAAUAUAUAAAAAACCAAUAAGGUCAUGUGAUACGACAUCAUUUCAAGAGGAAAGGUACAAACAAUCUAGUUUCUAUACUAGGAAGAUUCACUCGAACAAAUUCUUGGAAACUAUGACUCAAACAAAAUUCUAGGAAUUCAGUAUUUUUAACAAAUGAUAAGCGUUUAAGAUAUAUUCUUUAUAAUAUUAGAGAAAUCGAACGGUUGAUCUAUAACUCGCAAAGUGGUUGUAGCUCAAGUAAUUUUACUCCCCAAUUUUACAUAAAACAUAAAAUAAAAACAAAUCCUAAUUUACAUGGUAAUUUUUUUUCAUAGCUAGGGACAACUUCGACUAUGGUAAUGCAAUUAAUAUACACUAGUUUUGGAUGGAGAAGUUUCAAGAUUGAGUAUGGGAUGGGGAGGGGCGAGAGACUUGGAUGGAGAGGUGAGGUUUUAUGAGUUAAACAGUGAUGCAAGGAUGUAUUACUUAAAACUUUAGAGACCGUAUGUUGGGCUAUAUAUAAUAUACGUUACAUGGAUAAUUGUUUAACUCAUAAACGUUUUGAGUGUUUCUAACAUAUGCUUAUCAAAAGCCUUCUCGUUCCAUCAAACAAUACGAAAAUUUUCAAUUGAAUGAAAGACAUACUAUUUUAUAUAUCACAGUACUUCAUGGAUCAUCAUCAUCACAUAUCCUUAAUUCAAAGGUAAUAAAUGAGCAUCUAGUUUUAUUUUAAUUUUAUUUUAUAUAGGGACUACAGAAGCAAGCACCCUCUGUAAAUUAAACUCUAAAACUUCUCAAGUAUCUUGAAAGGUGCCAAAAGCCAUCAGCCAACUCCAGUUGAUGCAUAACCUCCUACAUUUACAAAAACAGCGUCGCCGUUAAUUUAUUGACUUCUUCCCAGGACACAUACCAAUUUGCGAAAGUGGUUUGACUGAUGCUAUAAUUAGUCGAGUAAAGUACAGUCUUUUCAAUUAAGCAGAUGCAAAACACUUAGUUGAUGCACUACAAAUAUGAUUUUUACCUUUAAUUAACGCGCUUCAAAAUCAGAACUGGACUUGUAGUUUGCUGAAGCAACAGUUUCAAGUUGCUGAUUCCCACUUAUACCAGCCUCCACCGUCCUCCUUCCAACAAAAAAUGCUGGCUUUGUUGGUGAUGCUAAUGGAAAGCUUUCAUUUGUCAACAUAGAUAUGACAUCUGACAUGGUAGGGCGAUCUGCUGCAUUUUCUUCUACGCAAAGCAGACCGACAUGGAUGCAUCUUAACAGUUGCUCUUUAAUAAACGAAUUUCCUAAUGUUGGAUCCGUUAAUUCUAGCCCUGCACCUUUUUUCCAUAACUCCCAUGCCUGAAGAACAAGGAUUGCAUUUCAUUCUAAAGAAGAAAAAUAUGAUUAUAAAUUUUAAGAGAGAGAUUUGUUUGUCAUACAUAUCCUACUAAAUUGAGUGCGCGAUCGUCAUUGUAAAAGCUGUUGUUUUUCCUUCCACUUAUGAUUUCAAGCAUCAAUACCCCGAAACUGUAGACAUCAGACUUUACAGAAAUAAUUCCCCCCACGGACUCUGGAGGCAUGUAACCACUACACCAAAUGAAAAAGAAAAAUAGUCAGUAUACUUAUCUGGAAAAAUGCGUGUUUAGCAGUCAAAAGGGGAGGACCACGUCAAUAUGAUGCAGAAAUACUUACAGUGUCCCCGCAACCUUUCUAGUGUUUGCUUCCAAUUCAUUUUGGGUGAAAAUCCUUGCCAUACCAAAAUCUGAAAUUUUUGGGUUCAUGUUUUCAUCAAGUAGUAUGUUACUAGCUUUUACAUCUCUAUGAAUUACUUUCUUUCUUGAGUAUUUGUGCAGAUAAAGCAACCCUUGAGCAAUUCCUUCGAGAAUGCUAAAACGCUUCUUCCAAUCUAGUAGUAGACCUCUGAUUGGAUCUGUCCAAUAUGUUGAGUUAAGUAGGACUAAUAUUAAUUAAUAGUAGUACUCUAUGAACUUUGACAGUAAAAUAAAAAUCAGAUAGUAAAUUUAACAAAUGAAAUCAAGUAUCUUGGUUCCUCACCAAAUAAAAAGUGGUCCAAACUUUUGUUCUGCAGAUACUCAUAUAUCAACAUCAUUUCUUCACCAUGAAUGCAAAAUCCGAAAAGGUGAACCAGGUUUGUAUGUUGGAGUUCAUAUAUAAGUAUCAGUUCAUUCUUGAAUUCUGAUGUUCCUUGCCCUGAACAUUUCGAAAGCCUCUUCACAGCUAUUUCUUGUCCCGUUGCCAAUUUCCCCUGAAUUGAUAAUCCAUAUCAUGCUUUUGCUGUCAUUUUUAGGCAAUUGAAGCUAAUUCCAUUUUUUUUUUCUUACAGCUUUUGAAUUAGAAGCAGAAAUUUUUGUUUUUUCAAAAUGUUACCUUAUAAACCGGUCCAAACCCUCCUUGUCCUAGCUUGUUUUCUUCAGCAAAGUUUCUUGUGGCAGCCACGAUGGAUGAAUAGCUAAAAACGCUAAAAUCAUGAUGUCGCUUAGAUUCAUGAAGAUAAGCAUUUCGUUCUCAAGCGUUGUCCGGUUCUCACCUAUACAGAUCAAUUAUAAGAAAUUAAAGUUUCAAUGGAGACAACAAUUGUCAAAGAUGUGAUUAAUAAUCCUGUAUUACUGGUGCACAUGAUUUAAAGAAAUAUACCAGCUGAUGCAAGGGCUGAUCUUCUUCGUCGGAGUAGAUAGUACGCGGUGCAAAGCACUAGAGCAGCAGCUAUAGAAAUGCCAAUCCAAACCCAUUUAUCUGCUGCAUCAUAAACAAUUAGCUAGCAACAUAUGCAAUCAGUGUAACACACACGGACAUGUACGCAUUAAUUGUCUUCAAUUUUUGGAUGAACUAGGUCUUGCAGGUUUCUUCCGGAAAACGGAAAAAUUCGAGACAGAGAGCAGAACUUAAGACAACAAUAACAAAGAUAGAGGUACCUAAUAAUACUGAUUCCACGCGUGUCACAGAUUUCCGGCUCAAAUCGGGUUUGCAGCCUCGGUAUAUAUCCUUCGGAUCAAGAAAAGAAAACCCUUUUGGGCAUUCGCAGGUUGGCCUUUUAUCUGGUUUGAGCAUACAGGUACUGUUGUAACCGCAAACACCAACGCCCAGUCGUAGGCAAAUAUCAUCCGGCAUAUACACCAGAGGACUAAUCCAACUUGCAUUUCCCGUGAAGUUUUUCUGGUGAGAAUAUAAAGCGAAAAUCCCAUCAAAAUCAAGAGUUGCCCUUAUGUAGUUGUCCCUCACCGACACUCCCUCUGUCCCCUUAAGAGGGACUCUUCCAUCAUUUUCUCUUAGAACAAACAUGUCCCCUGAGCUGCUGAACACCAAUCGUUUGCCUUGACUACCUGGCACGUUCCCUGACGUGGUCUUCGUGGAGAAGUAAGGGAUGUUGGCAUUAUCUGUUGUGACGGAAAUGAGCACGAGGUUUCCAUCACCUUGCAAGCUCAGCCGGAACCGCCCUUUUGUGUAGUUAGUCUCCGAUUGUCUACACGAAAGCGUCCCGUUUCUCUCAAUUGUCUGUCCAGGCAAAACGGUGUCUGUAGGAUUGCUGAAGGUCUCCCACAAGCUCCCCGAGUUUUGGUGUUGAAGGACGAAGUUUCCGGUGUCAUUCAUGACCCCGUUCGCAACAGUCCCCAAGGUUAUUUCGGAUUUCCAUAUCUCUCCACCCUGAGGAUUGUUAAGAACUAGUCCACUGUUGGCAGUCAAGUUCAGAACUGAUCCCCUAGGUGCAACCAUGGGGUUGUUACCGUCAUAUGCAUACCAAAACUACGGUUUUGUCUGGGAUUUUCGCAUACCAUAUCGAAAGCAAGAAACGAUCAUUGUUUCCGAGGGGCGAAAAUCCAAACGCGAAAUCACCGGAAGGAGAAAGCCAUGAUGAGGAGUCGCCUGUAGUUGCAGUUAGAGAACUCCCAACUGCUACUCUUCCAUUAUUUUGGGAAAUCACAGAAAUUGGUAGCAAAAACAAAGAGGAGAACAAAAGCAUCUCUACAGAAAGAGCCACUGCCAUUGCAAAAGCACCAAUUUUUCAACUUGGCUUGAUUGAUUAGCUAUAUUUCUUAGUAAAGCAUUGGUCCUUGUUAUAUCUUUAAGUAAAUGCGUGUGCACCAUGUGCCUGUCAUUUUCUAAGUUUUUGCCUGGAAUUAAAGGCGUCUACACCAUUUUUUGAAGUCACACACAACAAUAUCUCCGGGCCUACAGAAUAAAUUCUCCGAACCUACACAUAUCACAAGAAUUUCACUUUGAAAAAAAAAAUAUAAUGAAUAGUUCUAUAUAUAAUGACACCGAGACUUUUUGUGAUUGAAUUUAUUCUCUCUCAACUCCUUUGUAAUGUUGCAAGUUGGAGCAAUAUUGACGUAAUUAGCAAUGGUCCGCUGACUUGUCUCUCUCAAAUCUCUUAUCAUCCUACUCUCAUCCCUCGUCUGUUUUAUGAUUCUACUUACUUAAGCACUUAUAAAUGUUCCAAAUCAGCAAAGGACUUGUAACUUAAAUAAUUAAUAAUAUUUAUCACUACACUCGAGAUUCUAGGUUCCAAAAUAUAAUAUAUAAUAUAUAUGAAUGUUUCCGAACCAAAAGGACAAGUAAAUACGAGCAUGACUCACGCUGCAUGGGUCGGCCAUUCAAGUCCACCAGUCAAAAUUCAACAAUGGGGCCCACAAAGAAAAUUUGAAAAAGUACAUGCAGAUUGGGGACGGAUACAAAGAAAAUCUGAAAACAGACCUCCAGAACCAAACAAAGACGACUAAGCCUUUAAGUCAAGUGACAAGAGACUUAUAUCUUCACAAAAACAAAGACGACUAAGUCUCAAUUUCUGUAUUCACAAAAAAAAAAGUACUAACUGAAGUUUUUAAUGUAUGAUUACGUCGUUGGGGUAAAACACCCGAUGCCGAGUUGAGAUAAUCACAGGGUUGGGGAAUCAAGAACCUCUUCGAAUGUCACAAUCUAGCGCAAACGGAUGUAGAGACUCAAACCACUUAUUUUAAAUCAUACGGCCUUCAUUAGCCUAUCCUAUUGACCCACAUGGUCCAAAUCUGUCUCUCCCCUCUCUUGAACGGUUUGGAUAUCUCGAUUUGUCGAUUUUGGAUUGCGAGAUUCAAAGAGAAUCUGAUUUCAUGUUUGAGGUGAGGUUUGACGACCAUUUGAAGCCCGUUGAGGCGUGGCCCAUCUCAUCAGGUCGGGUCAGCCAUUUCGUACCAGGUUGGAUCCCAGGUCAGGCCAACCAUUUCAUUAGCCUAAGAUGGACCUGACAGACGAGGCGCUUGGAUAUUGCCUACCGCGACCAAAUGGACCCAUGGACUCAUUAGAUGAUGAGUCUGGACCCUGGUGUGUGUAAAGCCCACCUCAGCUCGAUCCAUAUUCGAUCGAUACUACAAAGAAGGUGGAUAUGAGGUAAAGGUAGAGUAAGCUCCAAGUCAUGUGGAGGUCAGUCGAGAUUGAACACACGUUCAUAGAAUCAUAGUAUCAAAUUCAAGUCCAAAUUUUAACACUACGAAACCGAAAAGCAUUGUUUCAGUCCAACAACCCAAACUUCCUUAAAAAAACUAAGACAAAAACGACGACACUAGGAAACGGAAAAACAUGCAACUCAGAAAACCAUUACUCUAGUCCAAAUGAGGUUCCUCAAUGCCUCAAGCUUUUAUAAAACACCAUAGCCUGAACCUUUUCCUUUGCGCCUUCUUUGCUUCACCAGAAACGUUCUUAAUGAGCUCCUCUUCAAAUUUGGGACGAGCAGGCAUUAGGCUGUGCACAAUGCUGUAAACGCCCCUAGCCCUUGCCACACCCUAGGUGCGUACGCGUGCAUGUCCGACCUGAGUUAUCUUAUUACGCGCGCAGUUUGAUCUUCCCGUAUUGACAUCCCUGCUGUCUAUUCUCCUGCGAAUCCUUCUGCUGGUGACUUCAUCCGAGUCCAUUUUCUUGCUCCUCAGUGCAUGUUCAUCUGCUUUUCCCUGUUAAUAAAUAUAGGAAUCCCAUAACAAACAGCAUUUGACAAAACAGAACGUAAUAAUAACAACAAAACUUGACUCCAUCCUCAGUGCAUGUUCAUCUGCUUUUCCACUUCAAAGCAGCUGACGGCACGAUUCGUACUUGGACUCCAAAAUGUCUAGAUUAUGGAGAAACCAGCCUUCUAUCCAAAACACACAAAGAAGUGUAUUUUCCGUUUAUACCAAUUAAGUGUGUUGAAGCAUGUCCCACAUGGCCACAUAGGAAACUUGUUGAGGUUUAAAUCCUCUUAUAUAGAAAGUUCGACUACUAAUUGCCUUGAGGCCUUAAUUCUGUAUAAAACCAUACCUAUUGAAUUGCACACGUGCUUAAGUUAAGGUCAGUAUUGAUGGUAAUUAGUAGUGGGCUGCUGGGCCGUCUUAAAAAAACUGGUACAAAGGGCAAUUUAUAGAAGCAGUGUUGAGAUAAGGGCAAUUCAUCUGUUCUUUUUAGAAGGAUAUAUAUGAAUGAAGCAAGGUUUAUCUGCUAAUGCGGCUCAGCCCUUUAUCAAAAAGUGAAAGAUCAAAAUUACUUUUACAGCAAGAGCAAUACCAGAAGAUGUAAUCUAAAUUAUUUAUAUUUGGUUCCCUUGAAAUCCUUUUGACUGCUUCAACAUACUAUAUGCAGACAGAACCAGAACCAAGUCCAGACUCACUCGUAAUAGGUCUCCUCAUCCACAACAAUAUCCCAGCUUUCCCUUGUCGUGGUUUUCCCAUAUUUGUGCACCUUACUGCAAAGAGAGAGCAAGUUAACUUGUCAAAGAAAAACCAGAACAAUAGAUGCCAAUGCAGUUCAAAAAGUUUAUUUCCCUUCAUACCCAUUUCCGAAGUGCUCUUCUCCCCAUGUCCUUGACCAACCUAGACAUGAGAGAACAAAAACAGAGUUACAUCAGAUUAAAUUAUUGAAAGAAAAAGGUUCACUUCUGUUGUAACAAAUCGACAUUAGAAUCAAGCAACCACGCUAUGAAAUACAAAUUUAAAAUGUAACAAUUUACUGUGUCUAAAAGGAAUCUUGAAAUAAAAUAGUUAAACCCUAAACAGCACCACUGCAAAUAGCAUAAGAAAAUUAAAAUUAACCCUAAAGAAAUUGGGAGAGAAGAAUAUGAAAAGGGAAUACCUUUCGGCCCCUUUGAGUUAUUGGAAAAAACCCAACAGAGCAAAAGAUAAACAAAAAUACAGGCGGAAAGAAAAUAAAUUUUCAACUUGUAAGAUUCAUACGCGAACAGAUUGGUGGUCAAAAGCAUUUCGGAAUUCAGAGCCAUCAAGCUUUUUGAUCUGCAUGGAAAUUAUUUAUGAAGUUUGAGAUUCUUAUAGACGCUUUAGACACAUCGACAUAUUGAGAAAGCAAUAUUCAACAACCUAGUACCCAUGCUCCAUAGAAGGUUGAGAAAAUAUGAAUGUCUGGACUCUGGAGUGAGAAAGUAAAAGGACUUACCGCAUACUUCAUAUCUUCUAACUUUGUGUAGUCUACAAUCCCUGUUGUGCCUACAAAAAAGGCAUAGGACAAAAGCUAAAUCAAUCGAAAUUCUGAUGUCAUGAUCUAGGUCUUAGGAUUAAACUAUUGAAAUAACACUAUAUGAAAUAGCAGUGUAUAUCCCAAAAAAAGUAUGAAAUCUGGUUGAUAAUUGCAGAGUUCGAAGGGAUUUACCUUUGGAUUCUUCGGCUUUCAGAUGGAGUUUGCUUAUGUAUGGGAGAGAGAGGUGGAGCGGCUAGGGUUUGAGUAUGGAAGAGAUGAAAAAUGGAGAGAACACCUGUUUUGGCUGCAGCAACUCACACACUCCGGACAAAUCUGCAAAUGUCUAAAGGGGGGAAAAUAUAAAAAGAAACCUUAACAACUGAAUUCAAAGAAACAUUAUUACAUUGUAAAUAGCAUUUCACAAAAAAAAUAAAAUAAAAUAAAAUAUACUAAACUAAACUAAUUACACUCGGAUUGCAAUGCUAUCAUUUAAUAAUAGGAAUUCCCAUAACUUAGCAGAAGAUCCUGCAUCUGCAAAGGAUCCUUUAAAACCUAUUUUUUUUAACAACCCCACACCUGCAACACAUCCAGUCAAGGUAAACCAAUAGCACCCUCAUGCAGAGCUCUUCUGUGCAUAUAUACCCCUUAUAAGUAAUCUUAAUCAAUCAGUUAUCAUGAAUAUACAACUUAUAUUAAUUUUCUACAAUAUCCAACACACAAAUAUAACAGAAGAGGAAACUUUUACUUAAGCAGCACAAAAUGAUAUCCUCUGCAUUUCAUUCCAAAAUCCAUCACUCUUAUGUCUUUGCCUGCACAGUUUUUGCUCCAACAUAGCCUGCAAUGAUGAUAUAGCACUAUCAAUAAUUAAGACAUAAAGAAAGGCUAUCCUAGCUAGGUAUUAUGAUUGGAGUAAACCAACAACACCAUAAGUAAAGUAGCAGACCAAAUUUUUUUUAGAAUUGAUGUCUUAACAUGUUUAAGUAGCAAAAAGAUUACAACACAUUGGAUGUGUUAACACGUCCAUAAGCUGAUGACUCCCUCUCCGGUUUACCACAUCAUUCUUAAUGUACUCAACAAUGCAGCAGCAAUUAAAAGUCCUUGGAAAAUGCCAAGCUACUACAAUGACAUAACGAAAACUAUAUCUCACCUUACACCCUUGUUGGCAUAGACAACAUAUCCGUCCUUGUUCGGGGUGAAUCAUAAUCCUGAAUUCAAUUAUCAUCAUCGUCGAGAAUGUCAAACUGUAAAUCAACCAUGCAUGGAACAAAACUUAGAAAUUAAACAAUUAUCAAAGCUUAUGAAGAAUGCUAAACCCAACUAAUUCGAAACAUAAAGUAACCCGAAAGAGAGAAAACUUAUAAAUUUUACAUAAAUUAUAAUCCUUAACAGAAGGAUGGAACAAAACAGGUUCAUUCUUAAGAAUAGAUGUAACUAGUAAUAGGCCUGCGCGCUGCUGCGGGACUUGAAUGCACCAGCCUUAACAACAUGAAUAAGACACAUUUAACAUGAAAAAAAUUCAACAUAAUCAUGAACGAACAAAAAGGAUAGCUGAGUGAACAGUGUUCGUAAGUAAAACAGCUUAGUUUUUAUAUACAUUCAACCAAGCUGAUUACAAAAGAUGUGAUUGUAAAAAAUGUUCUGCUUACCUGAGAAACAAAAGCAACAUGCAUUUUACACAUACAAGACAUCUGAUAUUAAACCUAAAAUCAUGUAAUUCUGUAUGAAGUGGAGAAUAAUGCAGAAAGAUGGUUUUCUAUAGUGCUGCCAAUGACAAUUAAUUUCUCAUGAAAAAAAAGAAAAGAGAAACACAGGUAUAAAAGAAUAUUAUUUUUUAUAGUUGCAAACAUUAUGAAUUCCAAAAAGAAAAACUACAGAUAACACUUCAAUCACAGAUCUAAGCAUCUAAAACGUGGCAACCCAGAUACCAUUCAAGACAUUGCUCAGCAUCAUGGAUAAACUAACCUAUCUGUGUCCCUGUGCUCACUGCAUGUCAUAUACACCCGACCAACUGGGCAUAGGAGCAUAAUGAGGAAAACUUUCAGCACCAUUUUGUACCUGAAAAAUGAGGGAGGAACUAAUUAAAGCGUUCCUCACUUAGAAUAAAUAAUGCAUGCAUAAUAGCCAAAUGGACAUUGCGCAUAUAAAUUGUUGUGGCAAUAACUUGCAAUAGAAAACGUAGUUAAAAAUAAGAUAUACGAAAUACCAACAUUGCAAUGGUAUUUUUUUUUUCCAUUCGAUUGUACUGAAGCAUGCAUCUUAAAUUAGGUACUACGUGAGGUCUCUAUAAUGAAAUGGGAGAUUGAAUACACUUGACGAAACUGAAAAUUCAAAUAUGCACACGCUCCAUAGUGUAUCUUCACAACCAAAAGAAACGUUUAUAUAUACGACAUAUGUUUGACAUUGUUUUUCCCCACUCAAAUCGUCUUGAGAAAAUUUGACUACUAAAAACUACAAAACUUUGAUUAAAGAAUCAAAUAGAAUAGCAUGAGAAAGUUAUUAUUACACCAUACCUGACUUUUUUGCAUAUAAAAACACCUGUAUUUCACCUGAUUUUGUAAUGAAAUACAGAUGCUUGUAGUUCACCAGUACAUAGCUGCCUGUCAUUUGUUGUCUUCUUCGGGUUCAAGAUCCUUAUAUUGUCUGAGACGUGAAAGAAUCAGAAAUUGUAUACAGUUUGAUAAUGAAACAUGUAAUGUGAUUAUGUGACAACAAUGCACUCCUCUCUCUCAGAGAGAUAAACAAAGAUAUCAAAAACAGAGAGGCAAUGUUAAGAUAAACAGAAAGGCAAUGUCACAUUGUUUUGCAUGAUCUUGAAAAUUGGGGAUAAGGUAUUCAAAGUGCUAACAAACACGUGCAAAUGGGGAUAAAAAAGGGGAUAAAUUGAAAAAUAUAUAUGCUCUUAAUCGAGAACUUCAUCAAAUAAACAAUAAAAUCUAAUGUAAUCUGUCCAAAACCAAAGAGAGUGAUAAUUUGGAGGCACUAUAAUGUCUUGGGCAUCGCAUACUUGCGGUAUAUGAUUGAUGCAUCUGUUGCUCAAUCAAAUCAUUUGCUUGGCUAAAAAAGUUAUUUUUACAAUAAAUAGAUUCGCAUCCAAUUUAUGAGAAAUCAUGCAAAAGUAAAUGUAAAUGAUAACGGAAUCAUGAAUGCGAAUAAGAAACACAUACAUGCCAAAAAGAAAACCUACUAUAGUGUGUCAAGUUACUUGCAACAUAAUUUUUUAUGCCAUUAUCCAUUUCGCAAUACUUUAAAAAAAUUUCGUUUGAAAAAGCUUUGCUAUGAUUUUUAGGUUUGGGAAAAAUAAUACCAUAAAAAUUAAAAAACAAUUACUAAAAAUCAUGGCCUGUUAAUAGCAAAAUACACUCCUCAACAAUGUAUAUGAACAUGUGAGUUGAAAAUUUGAAAUAUUCAACAACUAAAAGAAAGAAGCAAAAUCAGAAGAAAAGAAAGAGAUACUCACUCAAAAAUAAAGAUGUAAUAAUGCCAGGCUUCUUCUCCUCGGCAUCCAGAAUUCCAUUGUUGUCUCCAUCUUCAACCUUCAAUGUAUUUAAAAUAUGAAAUGGAAAAAACCCAGAAGAAAUCAUUACAUAAAAUAAAAUUAUCCAAGUAAAAUUAAAGGAUGGAUAGAAAAGAAAUGAAGGCAGUUUAUUCGGACUUAAUUAGAGACUUACUGAAUAAGCUUGAAAUCUAUCUCACACAUCUCUUAAACUUCAACCCCUAUCCUCCUUGCCUCUGUAAUAUGCACACAUAUAGAAAAAGAAAUCGACUUUAGAACCUACAUUGAUACAUAUCUUGUGUGAGUAGGUCUUUCCUGCUUUUCCCCAAUCAUGCAUAUCAAAGAAACGAAAAAGAAGGAAAUCACCCAUAUAUAUAAUACCUUAAGUUUAAAUGCAUCCCAAUUUUGGGUUCCAACGUCACAGAAAGAAUGUCUUAUACAUAAUUUAACAGUACCCCCGACAUCGGUCCAUCCAUUCGUAUUAAUAGUUAUUGUCUGCACAAACCUCAAUUACCUUACAAUCUAUCAUUAUUGACAUAAAGUUCAUACAAUAUGGGACAUCAUGACCUCUCUUUGGCCAGCACCAGUUUUUCCAAAAUGAAAUCAACUAUUACUGCAUUAAUUAUGGGUCCAUCUGGCCAAUUCAUUGAAUUCGCAGACCCAAAAAUUUCACCAAUUAACUGAAUUUACAUACAAAUGGGAGAAGUACAAAAACAAAGACAAUGGCAUAAAUUAUACCAUAAAAAUUACACUACGAAAAAUUUAGAGACCAAAAUCCUUGUUAACAGAAUUUAUUCACAUUAAAAGACACAAUUUCGGUUCAAAAAACUAUCAAAUUUAAACUUUGAUAUCAUAUGAUAAAAUCUUAAUUAAACUCACAAUCUCAAGAAGUUGAAACCAUGUUAAGUAAAAGAAACAAAUUGAAAAAAAUUAAGAUGUAAAUAUUGAUAAGAACAACAAAAGUGGCAAAUACAUUAUACACAGAUAGGACCCUGAAAUAUCGGAACCAGCAGCAACAAAUAGAAUUAAGAAGAAAAAGGAUUAGCAGACUUAAUAAAUGAGAAAUAGGAUAACAGGUACGAACUCAGUUUUUCCACUAUGAAUAAGAGAUCCAGUGGCAUAACCUAACAUUAGGUAGAAUCAAUGCUGGUUGAUUGAAUUUUCAUUCCCUGAAAAUUCAGAAAAUGAUGUGUUUUGAUCUGCAGAUAGAAGCAUUCUAUAUAUAUAAAAAAAAAAUAUAUGGAGACAUGAUGAGGUUCAGAAACCAAACCAUGUCGGUAAAAUCCUCUUGGCAGGUUGCUCAAGGUUGACCUCCUAGCCCUUGGACCAGUCAGGAGACUUGGCCUCCUGCUUUCAAGUUUGGAAGGGAAGUAAAAGGUUCAGCCAAUAAGUAAAAGAAUUGAUUCAGAGGAUAGAAUCAAAAUUUCAAAAAUAUUAUUUGAUGCGAUUAAAACUGUUCCCAAUGAUAAAAUGAAUAAAAAAAUCCAUUGGAAUAAAAGAAAAAGAAUGAUUAAAAUUAUUCACAACCCUUGCUGUUUUUACCUAACCAUUUGUAGGAUCCAUAAAGGGCCAAAAAAAGUUUUUUACUUCUCCUCUAGUCCCAUAAAUUUGGAUUCCAUCUCGUCCAAGCAAACUAACAAUCAUUACUAUACUUUGUUUUAGCAUGCGAACACAAAUCUCAAAAAAAAUAGAUAAUUCAUUUACAAAUUUAAAUUCAAUUUUUAUAUCUCGAUAUUUGUUUGUUAAACUCAAUGAUCAAACUUCAGACUCAUGCCUUCCAAAAAGAAAAGAAAACGAAGAAGAAUUGAAAGCACUUCCCAUUCCAAGGAAAGAGCAGCCAUAAUUAGGAUCCAAAACUCAUUCUUUAGUCUCCUCAUCUGAAGCUAUAUAUAAUCAUUGAACAAAAACGUUUAACGUCCAGCAGAAAGCAAACUGCAAUCAAAAUUUCAAAAAAGCAAAAUAAUGCGCAGAUAAUCGACAGCUGCAACAAACAAAAAAUAGAAAAAUCAAAUGCAGAUUGAAGGAAAAAUCGAGACCGCAAUCGAAACUCAUGCUUGUAUGGGUAAUUAAUUGUAGAUACCAAAUCAUCAAAAACCACUUGUCUACACCAAAUUGCAUACAAAAGAUAUUGGGGCAACUCAGAUUGUGCAAUGAAAAACAAAGUCAAACUACGACGUAGAUGUCUAUCGGAAUUUCAUUCAAAGAAUGAUUAAAUAAAGACAAUGGCAUGCCAAAGAUUAAAUACCCUAAGCGACAGUGUCAGCCAUGAGCUUCCCUCUGUGAGAGCACAGGGGUGUAACUGCAAAAGAAAGCCGGAGACUGAGGGCAAACUGUAAUUUCGUCAAAAAGGAGGAAGUGUACAAAAGAGAAGUGACAGCAAUAAGCGUAGACGCCAAGGACAAAGUAAAUAUGUAUUUGUGAAUGGGGUUAAGCUGCUGCUAGCUUUGUAUAGUGUAAUAAUGCAAUUGCAAAUAGACCAAGUUACUGCUACUAAAAGCUUUUGCAAAAUCAUAAAACUCUUAACAGUUUGAACCCUACCGAAAAGUUUAUAUGAGUUAAAGAACAGUCGUACUUAAGUGCAGCAAGAUCAUAAGCUCUUGCAGCUUCUCCUCCAUAUCAGAACCACCUGCAGUCCAAAUUAACCAAGAUUCAAGGCCAAAGCAAGAACAAAUUAGUGAUAAUUUAAACUAAAGUCCCUAAUUAUUGUUGCAGAGAGAAUUCAUAUCAAGAUUAACGACAUUAUUUGAUUCGAAUGGAAUCCAAACGCAGCAUAAACAUGAAAGGUAAAAAAUUAAUACCAAAAGUCACAUUUAAGCAGCAAUUAAUAGCAUAAAUCAGAUUUUAGUGGCAUGGACCAAAAUAAUUCAGUAAAAAAGAAACAAUCCCAAACAAAUAGAAAGAACUGGAGAAACAAUUCGAAACAAAUCUUCGGAAAGCAACCCCAUCCCUCCCUCACCCUCUCUCUCUCCAAUUCCAACUUCUCCCUACAUCUCUCUGUCUAUAAUAGAUGUGCAGUUUUAUUAAUCUUUGUUGCCGAAGCGUGCAAGAUAGUGAAAAGAUUGUUUAUCUAAGAAAAAAAAGGGCACAUUUUAGAUGGAGACAGAUGGCAUUUAACAAAUUCUUCAUUAGUGGAGUAAAUAAUUUGCAACCACCUAUUUCCUGGUAGCAUUAAAAAAAAAAUUCAAUUUUAAAAAAGAAAUGUACUUUUUAGUUCAAUUUCCACAGCCAUAGUAAUUUAUGUGGACUAAAAUUAAGAUUAACUAAUACAUCCAAUCAACUGCAACUAAACAACUUAUAGUAAUUGAAUCUGUGUUUGUGGAUGUGAGAGAGAGAGAGAGAGAGUUAUCUAUUAUAAAGCCAACCUUCUUUGAAUUGGUCCUCUUAUGGCUUAUUACCAAAACUCUCCAUUGCAUUUGCAGUAAUGCCCUCUGCUUCUCCUCCUGCGAAUUAUCAUUCUGUAAGUAAAAGGUACAAAAACAUCAAUUACUUAAUGGUAGAUAUGUACUUUAGACUUUUGAAGAUCCAAUUCAUCCUGCAUCUUCUCACACUCAUCUUCAUGCUGAAGCUGCAAACCUGUCAGCUCAGCUUCAAGUUCGCUCCUCAUUGAAGUUAUUUUCUAUGAAAAUGAUAAACUGGUUUGUAACGUAAGCAUAUAACACUCUAGUUAAAUUAGUAGUUCCAACUUAAUUCAAAGCUAAAAACGACAUUAAUGACCACAAUUUAAGAAUCCAGAAACAGCCCAAACUAACAACACACACAGAGGACAGACACUGAAAGACAUAUUUUUUUAGAGAACCUAACUAAAAAUUAAAAACAAACCAAGUAAAAUUUUCAGAGUUUAAAAACAGGAAACCAUUACAAUCUUUACAGAAACCAACUAAAAUUGGAAUCUGAAAAAAAAUCCGCUCAAUUUUAACAGCCCUGCUGCAUAUAUUGGGUUUUUUUAGGCAUGAGACAACACAAACGAAGAAAACAUAACAUAGUUGUAAACCUUAGGCUCCAAUCAGGUCAAGUGUGAGAUUUCAAACACGGAGAUUUACUCCAUGUUUAAAAACUGCCAAAUACAUUGCCAACUGUUAAGAGUAUGAACUACAAAUCUAUAAAGUAAAAAGACUUGCAGAUAAGUUUAAACAAUCAACAUUCAACUUAUGAUUGUUACUGUUUUUUAGCUGGAUGUUCACAUUCUAAUAAGGUAUUAAAAGAGAUUAUAAGCGUGUGUGCUCUUAAACCACCCAACACCAUGUAUUAAUCAAAUAAUUAACAUCUAAAGAUGGAGACAUGAAACACGAAACCUGCAAUUAGAUCCCAAUCACAAAAUGCCAAAAAAAUCCUAAUCUAACCAUCCCUAUACUAAUAGCCCAUUCGAGCAGCUAUUAGCACCUAACCCGCUACUUUGGCAACCCACCAACCCGCCACACCGUCAUGUCCCAUCCCCUCUCCACCACUCACUAUAUCUCUCACCUUUCUUUCUUGACAUUUCGCUCGGUGCACACAAACACCAAGCCAACCAUUGCCGGCCUUUGUCUAAAAGUGGACAAAAUCCCAUAGGUCCUGGCAGAGGACCUAGCUAAAUCUCUCUCCCACUCAGUCGAAACCCGUAGCUACCAUUUCUCUCCAAUCUGUCAGUCUCUCUGUCCCCCUCUUCUCCUCCCCCCAACAACCCUCUGACCGAUGCAUCACCCACAGCCACACCCACCCGCACCCGAGUCAAAAAUCCCAACGAUCCUCUCCCUCCAACCCGUCAACAAAUUAUGGAUUCCGAGAAUGUAUCUUGAAAACUCAGAUGCACAUGAUUAAAAUUAGUAGAUAUUAAGGACGUGUACUUAACAGAACAACACGAAGAACGAAUGAGUACAUUACAAACUAAAUGACCGUGUCAGCUAGAUACUUCUUAAAGAACACCUCUAAUCUACCAGUAUGAUUACUCAGUUUUUGGUUUUUAAAUUAAUACCCUAAACCUUACAUUCAAACUCAUUUCGAAUGCAAACAAAAGUAAAUGAUAAGUCCCGAGCUUUUCUUUCUAGCCUCAACUCAACUCAAGUUCCCAACCUUCACCUUCCAAUACAAAGAAACUAACGCAUCAAUCUGCAAUUUCGCAAACAUAUAAUUCAACUAACCAAGUUCUGUGUCCACUCAAAUGCACAUAUUUGAGCUCAAUCAAACUUAAAUUUGAAACAAAUAGUGAUGAAAGAUCAAACAUUUAUACCUAGCUUAGGAUCCGAACCAAUCUCCUCUUUCGCCUCCCUCGUCGCCGUGUCCCCAUCGUCCUUGUCCCCCUCCUCUGUUUUCCCACCCGGCAAAGAAACUUCACCUGCAGAAACACAAAACCAAAAAUUAAAAAACCAAUCUUUCCCAUUUCCAUUUUUAUCAAUUUCCUCAAUUUUUCCCAUUUCCAGAAAAAUGAGCAAGAAGCUUAAGCAGGAAAAAAAUCAUAAUUUCAACAACCAAAACCCAAUACCCGUUUAAUCAUACACGAACGAAAAAUCUAAACACAGAGUCACAGAUUAACGAACUGAAAACCCAAAAAAAAUAAAGGAAACUGACCUUACUUAAGAACAAUACAUAGAACACAGAGAAACGAAACAAAUAAAGGAACCCCCAAAACCAAAUAAAGGAACCCUCAAAACCUGACCUAACAGUGCAACAAAAUCUGGAAAUAAUUCACAGCAAAAAGGCAGAAAUGAUGACAAUCUAUGCUAACAGUAAAGAAUCGAAUUAAAAAUUGAACUUAGCUUUUGAAAUCCAGCCACUCAUCCGACAUGCAAAAGGGAACGGAUGAUCGAGAGUGAAUCAUGGACUGAGGGACCUUACUCGACCCAUCAUUGGAGCUACGUUUGUAGCUUUUGGGGAGAAAAAAAUUGAAUGUGAAAGCUGCUUUUGAUGUGGCCAUUAAGGUGGUGCUUCAGCAACCGAAGCAAAAGAAGAAGAGGCAGAAAAAUGUGAGUAUUCCAUGAAGAAAAAAAAAAGGUUAAAAAAUCACUAAAAAGAAAAGGCAGAAAAAUGCAGGGUAUUCCAUGAAGAAAAAUUCAACAAUUAAAUAAUAUAGCUGUAAACCUUAGACUCCAAUCAGGUCAAGUGUGAGAUUUCAAACACAGAGAUUUACUUCAUGUUAAAAAACUGCUAAAUACAUUGCUAACUGUUAAGAGCAUGAACUAUCUGUAAAGUAAAAAGCCUUGCAGAUAAGUUUAAACGAUCAACUGUCAACUUAUUAUUGUUGCUGGUUUUGAGGUGGACGUUCGUAUUCUAACAUGGUAUUAAAAGAGAUUAUAAGUGUGUGCGCUCUUAAAUCAGCCAACACCAUGUAUUAAUCAAAUAAUUUAUAUCUAAAGAUUGAGACAUACAACAUGAAACCUGCAAUUAGAUCCCAAUCACAAAAUGCAAUAAAAAAAUUCCUAAUCUAACCAUCCAUAUACUAACAACCUAUUCGAGCAGCUAUUAGCACAAUUUACCUCCCUCUCUAUUCUUCCCCACCCCCUCUUUAACCAAAUAAAAACUCAUUUGUCUCACUAAAUAAAAACCUCAAAUUUGUUUUUUCAAAGCUGCAACAACAUCACUAAAAACACCAUGUAAUAAAAAUUUAAAAAAACCAAUCCAAUUUAAGUCGAGAAGCAAAUGACCAAACCUCCUAUUUUGAGGAAACAUUUUGCAUUCAAACCUAAAAUGCUUGCCUGCAAAGAAGGAUUAAAUAGCAAAGCAGACUUUCGGGGGAAAUAAAAAAAACAGACUAUUUAUAAUACAAUAAAAAUAAAGUAAUUCAUCAUCCCCACCAUCUCUGUGAGCUUUAACAGAACAGAGGAAUCAAAUUAAGCAAUAUAUAAAUUUAAGUUGACAUUCCAGUGUUCUACCUCUAACCUUGGUAGCAUGCAUGCACUGUAAGUUAUAAAGUGAAUUAAGCCAAGAUCUUCUAACUUCAUGAUUUUCACAUAUGCAUUAGAUGGAGAAAUACAAUAAAUAAUCAAAUAUGUAAGACUCUGAUAUUCAAAACCAAACAAACCCAAUUACACUUUUAGUUCACUAACCCCAUUGAAUAAAAUCCAAUUCAAUAAAAUAACAGAAAAUUAAACAACCCAAAAAUCAAAACAACCCCACUUGUAGUUUUAGCUCACUAAUCCGUUGGAUAAAUAGAUGCCAAAUUCAAUCAGAAAACAUACAAUUAACAACAACCCAGAAGAGCCAUCCGAAAACCCAACCAAUUAACCAAAAAAUACCACUUGUUCUUUUAGCUUAGUAACCAACCUCUACUUGUUUUCUGGCAAAUUUGGGGUCCUUUGAUUUCUAGACUUUCAGUAGAAACUGAUUAUACCAUGGGCUAAUAUUCAAGUACCACAAAAUAUAAUUUUACCGUAGUAAGCUUUUUGAUUCACUCCAAACGAAGAUAUUAUAUGUUCACAUAUAUAUAUUCACAACCAUAAAAAGAAGAACUUAUCUCUGGCAUUUUAAUAAAAAUAAAAAUAAAUUAUUCACCCACAGUAAAAACCGAAACAGCUAAAUUAAACCCAAAAAUUAAUCAUGAUCAUACAUAUGUAUUCCUGACAAAUGUUUAGCCCUUUAAUUAAAACACUAAAAUAAAAAAUUGCUCACCCACAGUAAAAAACCGAAACAUGCAAACCAAAGCCCAAAAUUUAAUCAUCACUAUUACUUUUUUUUUUUUUGGUGUUUUUAAGUUUCAGGGAAAAAUGGAAGCACAAACAAUCAAAAAACCCAAACAAAAAGAAAUUAACACCAAAGAGAUAAAUUAUAUACCUGACCCAGAAAAAGCUUGGAAGCUCACAUAAUGAAACCCUAAAACUCGAAGAAGGAUGCUUCCUGCAAACCAAAUACAAAAUCAGACUCUCUCUCUUAGAAAGAGAGAAGUUAUCAAGUCCUGUACUUGGUUAUAUUUGUUCAAGUUAGGAAAAAUCGAGUACAGGGUUGGUACCUGGAGCUUGAGAAAUCAGAGAGCUUGCCUGUUUGAGAAAAGAUGAUAACAACAGCUUCAGAUUCACACAGAAAACGUACAAAAAACGCACAACAUGCUCUCUGCCCUCUCUCUCUCUCCCUCCCUGUCCAUCCGUCCCUCAAAAAGUGGGAAAAAAAAUCUCCAAACGUCUCUCCCACUCAUGAAAUCGAGGAUCUGCAGCAAUGGCGCUGAGGUCGCCACUCCUCCCUCUCCCUUUCUCUGUCGCUCUGUCUCUGUCUCUGUCUCUGUCUCUGUCUCUCUCUAUCGAAGGCAUGGCCUUUCAUCCCCGAAACCCUCACUGAAUGACAGCAAACCCAAACCCACCCCAAUCCGUCUCAAACACACAGGACAAAAUUGCCCUUCCAACCCAGCCCCAAUACCAGCCCAAACCUUACGGUUUUGUUGUAAAUAGCGUGAAAUCGAGUGGCUCCCUGAUAAGCCAUAUGGACAAAAUUACCCUCUGAAAUUUUGAGAAUCACCCUCCCAACCCACUCCCAUUCGGCUGGUACUGUUGUAAAUAAAGCAAAAUAAAAACAAACGUGAAUAGUGCCUGCCCUCCCCCUACUUUAGUAUAGAUAAUUUUGCACAUUGCAUAUAUGUAGAUUAAGGACGGUGGUAACAUACCUUGUAAUUUGUACAAAUUAGGAUUUUCAUUCAAAGAACUAUAAUAUACACAAUUACAAAAAAAGUGAUUCAAACUUGUUCUUCUCUUAAGGAAAUUACUCACAGUUGAAAUUCUGAAUGGAUGAAGUUUUGGCUUCCCUUUCCGACUAUAUUUGAUUAACCUUUUUUUAAUCCAAUGAGUGCCUUCAUGAGAGAGAGAGAGAGAGGAAUAUUAGGUGAAAAGUAUUGCCAAAUCACACAGAGAUCAAAAUCUUGAAUAUAUAUGUUUAACCAUGUCAAAGUGAGUGUGUAAAGGGUGUAGUCUGCAGAAAGGGCAACAUUUUCACUGCUAGAAAGUUGGAAACUAAACUUUUACACAGAUAUUGGAUUUUAUUAAUUCCCUUCGCGAAUUGAAAAGCAAAUUGUUCGAGUAAUGCAGGUAAAUUCGAUAUACAUAUGCGUUGAUCUAUGUGACGGUUAUAAGUUAUAACUGUAUUGUCUUAACGCAAAAAUGAUCAUAAAUGUAAGUGUCUGUAUUAUGGAAGUAAGGGACUUACAGCAAUUGCUAUGAGCUUUAACAGCAGUCACUCCAAGUACCUUAUUACGGAAGUAAGGGACUUACAUCAAUUGCUAUGAGCUCUACCAGCAGUCUCUCAAAGUGGUGCAAGGGCUAAAAUUAUAAAUAAAAAGUAAUUUAAACAAUUUAACUUAAUAAAAUAUUGUAAUUUAAACAAUGCCUAUAUAUUCAAACAUCCCAAAACAGGAAUGAACUUCUAGAAAACAUGCGCAUGAAAAUAAACGGCAUUACUCACCCAUUGAGUUGGACCAUCAAACUGGAGCGUAAGAAGGAUCAUCAUGUACCUAUGAAACCCAAAGGAAAAUUUUAGCAACCCCAAAGCUUGUAUGCAAGCGUGAAUAAGUAUGCGUGUAUGAAUCUAUUCAUAGUGAAGAAGGCUACCUUAAGAAAUAUUUGCAUCUGCAGCUUCAUAUGGCCAUACAACAAAAAGCAUCGCAUAUGAUAACAAACCCCAGCUGCACCACAAAAGGAAUAUGAUCUUCCUCUCGACUUGUAUUUGCAGUUGUUACUGUAACAUCUGCAGACAGCAUACAUAAGCACUGAUUCGAUAAUUCUAAAGGAAAAAAAGUUCUUAUUCGAUAAUGCACCAAAUCCUAUCCAAAAACCAAGGGGGUGCCAUAUCCCUAGAUUAACAGAGCAUCUUUCUUUGUUCCAAAACAAAUUGCAAUUGGCUUUGGUAAAGUAGAAAGAUUACCAGAUACCGACUCUGUUCCAUUAUUCGACUGUCCUUUUAGUUCUAUCUCUCAACAUGGGAAAUACAAUAAGACAGUAAAGACAAAAGUUAGUGAUGCUAUUACAUAGUGAAAGAAAAUAAGACAUUCACAUAUUGAUAGCUAUUUACUGUCCUUUCUCAUCAUAAUCUUGGCCCCAAUAUAUAUACUGAAUUUUGAAUGCAAUGAGAGAAAUAUACCUUUGGGGCGUCAAUGCCAGAAGAGUGAGUGAGGGAUCUAAGAUGUUUGAGAGCAGGAAUUUUUAAGUAAUUUGUGUGAAAAAGUUGAAGAGCUUCGAACAGAGUGGAGUGGGUUGGCCUGGGCUAAAAUAAAGAGGAUGAACUCUAGAAAGUAGAAAAUGUUGUUAUUCAACCAAACUCAAAAGUAAAGAAACCAUACAAUUAACAUAUAAAUAAGUUUUAUAUACCAAUGUUUACAUGUACGUUGUUUGAGAAGGUAAAUUAGCAACAUAUACAGUGAUCAAAAGAUUAACAGCAAUAAACUGCUCAUUAUUCGAAAUAUACAUGAAAGUUGUCAUUCACAUGAUCCAAAUGGUAGAGGACAAAACAGAAGGAAGCAAAUAUUAUAGCAGCAUAAGUUGAAUAAUUGCAGCAAGUAAACAAAUAGAAAGGCUAGCUAGAUUACACAAUCCAGUUCUAGGUCGGACUAACCAUGUUAGCCAUCCGCCCACCACCAGCACCGUCGGCUUCUUAUUAAAAAUGUAGAAUAGAAGACUCAAAAACUGGAAAUGAAAGCAGGUAACAUUGAGUUUUAAUAACCAAAAAGGGACAUUGUUUAAGCAGCUCCAUAGCAGCAAUUAUACUUGGACGAUGAGCUGCAAAAACAGAAAAGAAAACACAAAUUAAACUAAAAAAAAUAUAAAAUUUAGCACUAAUCCAGGAUUAAAUAUAAAAUAUAAAGUCAUUAGGAUUGGGACCUUUGCAUUGAGGAAUAUCUACUACAUUAUGAGUUCCCUCCUGACAGUGGCGGAUCCAGGAUUUUAAACUCGGGGGGUCUCAAUAAUAAAGGUCAAAAAAUUUAUACACAAAAACAACAUUGAAAAUUUAAAUAUAAUACAUUUCAUUCAAAAAUCAUAUGCAAAACAAUAUUACAAAUUAUAAAAUCAUAAUUCAAGCGUCCAUUACAAGGUUUCAUAAGUUACUACCUAAGUUAUUGAUUAUCUAAUAUGGACCACUAAAUUUAAAACACCAGUCAAAUAAAACUCUUCCCAAACUCCCACUAUCUUUCUAACCAAACACACCAUUUUUCUCUUUUACUAGUUUCCAAACAUCCACUUUCUCUCUCACUAAGAACACAGCUGCCAUACCUCCACCAACCACCUCCCUCCCCAUUCUCCCGAAGCCAUGGCAGCUCCACCCCCAAAUUUCACCAACCCAUGACAGAUCAUAUCCAUCUUACUAACCUUAUGCAGGAAAUUUCACCCAUAACAAAAAUUACUAAGGUGGUUGAAAUAAUUUGGGGAAAUUUGGGCUUAUGUACUGCCCCGCCAGACGACAGAUGGAGGAGAAGUGGGUGGCACCGAUGGAUGAGACCAUGGCAGAAGCAAGGAGAGAGGCUGGAAGGGUCCCUAUUUUCUUUCUUCUCCGUGCGCGGUCAUCUUCUCCGAGAAGAAGACAGCCACUGCAACCUACAACCUGCACAGACCUCAUGCUCGAGUACGAGGGGUCCCCGGAAAAUUUCUAGCAGCGAUUUAGGAUCGCCGACGGGUCCUGGGACCUCCCAGGUCCCUAUGUAUGCAGGAAAACCUAAGGUUCCUCCUUAGGUUUUUCGAUGUACCAAACCCGAAUCCGCCGUCCUUUUUCCAAAAUUCUAACGUUUUCAUAGAGUUUUAUUAAACGACCUUUAAUUGUGUUUAGGUGCAUCGGUGGAAGUGACCUCAUUCUUGAUGGUUCGAGCGGCUUUCGGGCAAUGGAAAACUUGUGAGUGGACCCCUUCUAAACUUAUAUAUUGUUAUAAAAUAUUAGCCUAGCAUGCAUUCCAUAUUUCAUGAUUUGAAUAUGAUUUAUAAUAUGCUUUAUGGACUUUUAUAAUUAUGGUUUACGAAAUAGUUUGAUUUAUCGAAAUUACGUUUUAUUAGGUAUUGAAUUAUUGGAUUUACAUAUAUGGAUUUCUAUGGUUUUCAAAUACGAUUUAUAUUACGGUUUUACGAACAUGAAUUGUUUUAUGGAUUUCAUGAAUACAAUUUAUCUUGGAUUUAUGAGAUGAGACUUUGAGCUAGUGAGCUCCGGGUUUGAUAUGAGUUUUGAGAUAUGUUUUUGGUACUUAAUCUAGUGGGUUAUCAUACGGCACAUCCGCACACCACGGGUAUAGAUGUGUAUGGCCAUAGGACACAGAUGAUGAGGAGGAGUAAGAUAUGAUAUAUUGUAUACCCCCAGUUCACUGUCGAAAGCAGUGUCAGAUAACUUCACUAGCCAUGGCUAGUGUCGGUAUGGAUGUUAUGCUAUUUCAUACAGCUUCACCUUCGGGUGAUAGACAGUUAUUUAGCUUCACCUUCGGGGUGAUGGACAUGUACUACCUUCGGCCAACUAUAAUAGCCUUAGUUGAGUACUUCACUGACAAGAUUUACAAAUUUGCCUUUGGGCGACGACAUUUUCAUUAUCAAGCACUGGAUUUUACAUAUCUACCUUCUAAAUGGAUUUUCAUGGCAUGCUAGGGUUUUUCAUAAAGCCUAUAUGUAGUAUUAUAUAUGUUUUCAAAAUAAGGGGUUAUUAUGUUCAUAAAUAAAAUGUUUUCCUAUUAUUAGUAUUAUUAAUAUAAACUUUGGUCCACUCACCUUUUCAGUUUUUGCGCCUCCUCAGGAGUUAGGAUCGAGGCACAUGAUCCCGGCAUCAUGGCAUGUUGAUAUAGGUAUCCUUGAAUCUUCUUAGUGUAGGUAUCAUUCCCUUAUUCAUAUCUUUUUAUAGUGAUUCUUUCCUAUUAUUUCUAAUUAGUUGUAUGCUCUGAACAAAUUCCUGCUUUGGUAUAAUCGUUAUAACUACUUAUCUUGUAAUUGUUUGCAUGUUUAAAAUGGUUUCGUCACCUUUGGGCGUGGGCUAGCACGUGCCUACCCUGGUAUGUUGGGGUAUCGGGGUUGGGGCGUGUCAAAGAUAGAGAGUGAAUUUCUAGCAGAUUCAAUGGUUGUCUACAUUUUAAAAAGAGCUUGCCGAAAAGAUUGAUUCAGAUGAAAUAACAAAGGAUUUCAAUUCCAUUAAGGAUUGAAGGGCACAACUUGAAUAGGUAUUUUUCUUUUUAUUUGUUAGGUUGUUAUGACAAGAUUGACGAUGUAUGUUUCUUUAUAUUGUAAGUUGCAACUUUAAAGGUUUUCUUCGUUAAAUCUAGUUGAAACUUGAUUCAUUUAGAGUUAAAUUUCUUACUUCAAAUUGUUGCUUUUAGGCUUAUUAUUGUGUAACUUUAUGCAAGCAACAAAAAAUUUUAACCAUUUGAUUUUGUACUAAUAAUUUUAGCUUAGCAUGCCACCAAAUAAUUCAUGUCUCCGCUAUUGAAAUCUUAGCAUGUGCAAUUUCAAAGUCUCGGUUGCCAAGUCUCCCCAGGCUGUUCAGCACCCAUUCUGAAUCUUGAUCGAGAUCUAGAGCAGUGCAAGUCAAGGAGUCUUCAUUCUCAUUUGAAACAAUGCUAAAAUUAUACCUCAGCUUGGACUCCUUGGGCAAAAUAUACCCAAAUGUAUUAAUAAUUUAAUACUACUUGUGGAUGCACCACUAGUCCAAAAAAAUCACCUCUCCUUUCUUAAUCUUCAAUUGGUGAGGGUCCCAAUCAAGCGUGAAAGGCCCCGGCGCACGGUUGGCUUUAGUUUCCCAUGAUGAAAUCGACGAAACGUGGCCAUUUGUACGGUUGACACCCAAUUUCAUGCCCGGCAAAAAGGUGUCAACUGGUAAUCAAAGCUUUACGUUCACUUCUUCUUGUACAAAAUUUCCCGAAUCCAAAAGGAUAGCCACAACAGUAGCAAUACUGUUACUUAUGUUGGUAGACCUAGUAGUUUGUGGAGCUGAGAAAAACACAAUUGGAUUAGGAUCCCUCCCGCAUAAUUUUCAAGGUUUUAUUCCUGUCCAAGGCAAGAGUGCGUACAAAAUAGGGGCUUUACGGUUGCAAAUCCAAGCAAUGUUGCCAUCGGCCUUGUUGCUCUGGAUAGAUACGUAGCUGGUGCUUUUGGAACUGUCGUCGUGUACACAGGAACUGAAACUGAACUUCUCCGAUGCAGAGACCAAAGAACUUGAGGAGUUGAGAGUGUCUCCUGCUGGUUUCAGUGUGUCCUUGCACUUGCAGCAUUGUGACAGGUCCACAGUCAGCAUGCAAAAAUGAUUAAGUUGAUUAUUGCCAUGAUUAAUUAAUGACCAUAACAUGAAGUUUAAUUUCUCCAUAUGAUGAGGAAGAAAGACAUGAAAUCCAUCACCAGAACAUGAUUAAGAAUUUAAUCAAGCAACGCGUCUUAGUUAAACCAUUACAAUCAUUGUACAAGGCAUUUAUAAAUUAAAAAAAAGGGAAUAAAGUAAUAAUUGUUAGAAUAAGAAGAAAAUGUAGUACAACAAUGGAGGAUAUGCUGCAAUGACUAGAGUGAGAGAGAGAGAAAGAAGAGAGCAGAGAAUAUGACACUGCAAUUCUUUUCACACGCAUUGUUUGAUUGCUCACUUAGUGAGAGAGGAACAUCUCUCUACACUUAACAGUUACACUUCCAAACUUUUGGCAGUAUUCAAAAUUACAUCCAAGUAAUCCUAGCCAUCCAUCUUACACCCUAUGAGAUGAAGACACAUGUACACUCACUUACUUAAGAACUAUGAGACUUAGAUAAGAAAGCAUACAACCAAUUUAGCUAAUCAUCCUAGCAAUAUAAGCUAGAAAUACAACUACCACAUCAGAUCACAAUUUACACACUAACAGCCCCCUUUAAAUUGUGAACUGAUUUAACUCCAAGAAGUUCCCUCAGAUAACUGAAUUGUUCUCUUGCCAAUGCCUUUGUAAAGAUAUCAGCAAUUUGGUCUUUCGUAGGACAAUGCAACAGCUCAAUUACUCCUUGCUGCAAUGCUUCCUUUAUGAAAUGGUAUCUCCUGUUGAUGUGCUUGGUCUUCUGAUGAAAAAUAGGAUUUUUAAUGAUAGCUAUGGCUGAAGUAUUAUCACAAUUCAUUGGUGUUGCAACUAUUUGCAUUUCACCAAAGUCCUCCAAAACAAAUCUCAGCCAUGUAGCCUGUGCAGUUGCUUCAGAUGCACUAAUGUACUCUACUUCAGCUGUUGAUAAUGCAACACAUUGUUGCUUGACUGAAGACCAAGAGAAAACUCCACUGCCAAAGGUAAAUGCAUACCCCGAUGUACUUUUCAUAUCAUCUUCUGAACCGCUCCAGUCACUGUCACAAAAUCCCAUUAAGAUUGCUCCUUUGCCUUUCUUGUAUUCCAAGCCAAAAUCAAGAGUCCCUUGAACAUAUCUUAGUACUCUCUUUGCUGUCCCAAGGUGCUUGUUGGUUGGACAGUGCAUAAACCGUGAUAGCAGACAUGCAACAUACAUUAUAUCAGGUCUAGUUGCUGUGAGAUACAGCAAACUGCCUACAAUUUGUCUAUAUUGAGCUUCAUCCGUAGUCCCACUUCCAUCCUCUUUUCUCAAUUUAUCACUUGGAACCAAUGGAGUACUCACUGACUUACAGUCUUGAAGUCCAAAUUUCUUCAGUAGAGAAGAAGCAUAUUUUCUCUGAUGAAUGAAAAUAUACUCCUCAGUUUGCAUUACUCCCAUACCAAGAAAGUGAUGUAAGAGUCCAAGAUCAGUCAUUUCAUAUUUGAGCAUCAUAUUAGAUUUAAAGUCAUCCAUCAAUUCCUGACAACUUCCAGUGUAUAUUAUGUCAUCAACAUAGAUAGACACUAUAAUCAUUUCUGAACUUUUCCUCCACUUGGUAUACAGAGUUGCUUCGCUAGUGCUUUUCUUAAACCCACAGAGUGUAAGAUAUGAGUCUAUUUCACCAUACCAGGCCCUUGGUGCCUGCUUCAGACCAUACAGUGCUUUAUGUAACCUGUAGACCUUAUCUUCUUCCCCUUGUACAAUAAAUCCAUCCGGCUGAUCAACAUACACUUCUUCUUCUAGUACACCAUUCAAGAAUGCCGAUUUUACAUCCAAUUGAAACAACUUCCAUUUGUUCUUUGCUGCCAGGGCAAUUAAUGUUCUGAUUGUAUCCAACCUUGCCACAGGUGCAAAGGUUUCAUUAUAAUCAAUUCCGGGCUUUUGUGCAUAGCCUUUUGCAACAAGCCUAGCCUUGUUCUUUUGAACUGAUCCAUCCAAAUUCAAUUUAGUUUUGUACACCCAUUUCACACCAAUCACAGGUUUAUCAGAUGGUCUUUUCACUAAUUCCCAAGUCUUAUUUUUCUCAAUCAUGCUGAUUUCAUCUUUCAUAGCUUUCUUCCAUGCUUUAUCCUGUGCAGCUUCAUAAUAGGAUUCUGGUUCAACAAUACACAUGACAUCUUUCAUAGAUUUCACUCAAACUUCUAUAUCUCAAAGGAGUAUGAUCAAUCUGAGAUGCAAAAAUUGAGUCACUAGCACUUCCAGAUUCAAUGAGUGGAGAAUCUGUAAGUUGAGUCUGAGAACCUUCAGCAACAGCUUGUUCCAUGGAAUCCGAAUCCUCAUCAGCUUCUUUCAUCUCUGAAGAUUCACUUGCAGCAAUUGGAAUGUACACUUCUUUGAUCUUCUAUCUAUCCCAAUCCUAUGUACCAUUCUCAUAAAAAAUAACAUCUCUUGAAAUGAUUACUUUCUGAUUUUCAGGAUUAAGCAAUCUGUACCCCUUUUCACAAGUGCCAUAUCCAAUAAAAAUACCAAUGACACUUGUUUCAUCCAGCUUCUGUCUCAGGUUUCCAGGAAUAAGGGAAUAACCUAAUGAGCCAAACACUCUCAAGUGUUGAAUUCCAGGUUUUCUUCCACUGAAUUUCUCAAAAGGUGUCACAUUUUCCAAUACUUUUGUAGGACAUCUAUUUAGCAAGUAGACAGAUGUAACUACAGCUUCACCCCAAAGACUAUAAGGAAGACCUUUCUCAUGAAGCAUACACUUUGCCAUCUCCACUAUAGUUCUAUUUUUUCUCUCUGCAACUCCAUUCUGUUGUGGAGAGUAUGCAACAGUAAGCUGCCACUCCAAACCCAAAGCUUCACAAAACUGUUCAAAUUCAUUUGAGGUAAAUUCUUCUCCUCUAUCUGUUCUCAAUUUCUUCACUGAAAAACCACUUUGAAGUUCCACCAUAGCUUUGAAUUUCUUGAAUACAUGAAAGACAUCUGACUUGUGUCUCAAGAGAUAUAUCCAGCACAUCCUCGAAUAGUCAUCAAUGAAUGUAACAAAGUAUCGAUUUCCACUUAUGGUUGGUGUUUGCAUAGGGCCACACACAUCUGAGUGUAUAAGUUCCAAUGGCAUUCUUGCUCUCCAGAUUGACUCCCUUGGAAAGGACACUCUAUGAUUCUUACCAAAUGCACAUCCCUGACAUACACCUUCACUGUCAUGCAUUUCAGGUAACCCAAGAACCAUAUCAUGCUCCUGCAAUUGUUGCAAACUUCUAAAAUUCAGGUGGCCAAACCGUUUAUGCCACAUUGUACUAUUCUGAUGCACAUUGGUUUUCAGUACCAAAUGAUCGUUUGACUUGAACACAAGUGGAAAGCAUCUGUUCCCCUUUUGUUUCACACUAACCACUAAAUUUGUCAGAGUUCUAUCAUAAAAAAUAUCCACCUUAUAAUCACCAAAUAACAGAAAAUACCCAUGUUCAGUCAUCUGCCCAACACUGAGAAGGUUUUCUGCAAUUCCAGGUACUAACAUAACUUCUCUUAUGUACCUUUUUCCUUUAUCCGUGUCAAUGACCAAGGUUCCUUUGCCUUUCACAUCAACAAGAACCCCUGUGCCAACUUGCACUUUUGCUUUAAUACUUCUAUCAAUUUCCACAAGUAACUCCUCUCUGGAAGUCAUGUGAUUACUGCACGCACUGUCAAUAUACCAGGCAUCACUCACAGCUUUCACUUCAGUUGAUUGCUUGACCAUGAAGAGAUUUCCAGGUUCCAGGUUCUCCCACCUUGUUUCUAAAAUUUCUUUGCUCUCCCACUUUGUCUGCAAAAUUCCCUUGCUGAGCAUUUUUGUUUUGAUUGCAGAUCCUAGCAAUAUGACCAGGUUUUCCACACUUGUGACAUUUAAUCUUCCCUUUUAGCCAACAUUCACCAUAGUGAAGUUUAUCACAGUAUUUGCAUGCCCCUCCAGUGUUGUUAGCUUCAUUUCUUACACUUGGAGUAAACCUGUUAGUCCACUGCUUCCCUUUGAACUUGAAGUUCUUCUGAUAUUUUGAUCCACCAGUAUUGGUAUGUUGAUUACCAAAUUUACUAUUCUUAGAUGAGAUAUAUAUCUAAGCUAGCAAAUGCACGUUCUGUGCUACUCUCUUCAUGUCUGAUUAAUCUUAGUUCAAACCCUUUCAAUAUGGCAACCACAUCUUGUGCAUCAAUUACAUCAAUAUCUUUAGUAUUUUCUAUAACAGAAGCAAUGCUAUCAUAUGUUUUGGGUAAACUGAUCAAUAACUUUUGCACAAUUCUCUGAUUACUAAGAUCUUCUCCAUAGCUUCGCAUCUGAUUUAUCAGAUCAAACAACCUAGCUAAAUAUGCAGCUAGAGAUUCACUUUCACUCAUACGGGUAUAUUCAAAAUCACGACGCAGACCUUGUAAUUUCACAGAUCGUACCUGUUUGUCCCUACACAUACUCUUGCUUCAGAAUAUCCCAAGCUUCUUUUGCAGUUUCCAAGGUUGCAAUGCGUGGAAAAAUUUGAUCCGAUACGGCUCCCUGAAUGAUUCCAAGAGCCCUUGCAUCCUUGACCAGAUUUUCACUCCGCAACUUCGUUUCCACCUCAGUGAGUUCUCCUUCCCCUUUCGCUGAAGUGGUAAAACCUUUUUCAACAAUAUUCCAUAACUCGUGAGAUCGGAAGAUUGUUUUCAUUCGAAUCUACCAGAAAUCGAAAUUUUCUCCGUUGAACACCGGAGCUCGAAGCUCCCCUCCACCAGAUCCAGCCAUGUUAGACUUAGAUCACACCUCUCUCUACUAUUUUCUUUGCAACGAUGUGUUGCAAACACUUGCUCACUAUCUCUCACAGAAUCGACGCCCAGAGAUUCAGACCCAACAAGGCUCUGAGGCCAUGUUAGAAUAAGAAGAAAAUGUAGUACAACAAUGGAGGAUAUGCUGCAAUGACUAGAGUGAGAGAGAGAGAAAGAAGAGAGCAGAGAAUAUGACACUGCAAUUCUUUUCACACGCACUGUUUGAUUGCUCACUUAGUGAAAGAGGAACAUCUCUCUACACUUAACAGUUACACUUCCAAACUUUUGGCAGUAUUCAAAAUUACAUCCAAGUAAUCCUAGCCAUCCAUCUUACACCCUAUGAGAUGAAGACACAUGUACACUCACUUACUUAAGAACUAAGAGACUUAGAUAAGAAAGCAUACAACCAAUUUAGCUAAUCAUCCUAGCAAUAUAAGCUAGAAAUACAACUACCACAUCAGAUCACAAUUUACACACUAACAAUAAUUACAAGUUUUACACAAGUGACCAUUUAUUACAAUGGUGGAAAGGUGUUAAAAGCUUUUGCAUGACGGUGUGAGUUCGAACCUCGUCGGUUGUUAAUCUACAAACCCCGUCGGUAGUUAAUCUAACUUCUAAUCUAAUAAAAUCUAUUUUUUGACCAAAAAAAAAUAAUUACAAGUUUUACUAAAAAUUUAGGGGUGUGAUAUCUACACACCCCUUUUUACUUCUCUCACAUCUUUUUGAUUUUCGACCGUCGGAUCGGAUGAAUUGAAGAAGAUCAACGGACAGAAAUUAAUAAGGAUGUGUGAGAAGUAAAAAAAGGUGUGUAGAUAGCACACCUCAAAAUUUACCGGAAGACUUGAUCACCCAUUUGUAUGCUGACAACGGUGACUAGAUUCACAACCUCUUUCCCACGUAAAUCACAUCAUCCAAUUUUAUUUUUCUUACAACAUAUCACGUAUCUGUCAUAUGUAAGACUUUUUUGGAAUAUGGAGCGUGAAAUUGCAGCGGAAGCAUCCUAGAUUUUUGAUCGAAUAUUGAGUUUGGUUUCAUGACAGACUUCCUGGAUCAAACACACCCUAAAAAAAUAUAUAAAAAACCAAUAAGGUCAUGGUGAUACGACAUCAUUUUAAGAGGAAAGGUAAAAACAAUCUAGUUUCUAUACUAGGAAGAUUCACUCGAACAAAUUCUUGGAAACUAUGACUCAAACAAAAUUCUAGGAAUUCAGUAUUUUUAACAAAUGAUAAACGUUUAAGAUAUAUUCUUUAUAAUAUUAGAGAAAUCGAACGGUUGAUCUAUAACUCGCAAAGUGGUUGUAGCUCAAGUAAUUUUACUCCCCAAUUUUACAUAAAACAUAAAAUAAAAACAAAUCCUAAUUUACAUGGUAAUUUUUUUUCAUAGCUAGGGACAACUUCGACUAUGGUAAUGCAAUUAAUAUACACUAGUUUUGGAUGGAGAAGUUUCAAGAUUGAGCAUGGGAUGGGGAGGGGCGAGAGACUUGGAUGGAGAGUGAGGUUUUAUGAGUUAAACAGUGAUGCAAGGAUGUAUUACUUAAAACUUUAGAGACCGUAUGUUGGGCUAUAUAUAAUUGUUUAACUCAUAAACGUUUUGAGUGUUUCUAACAUAUGCUUAUCAAAAGCCUUCUCGUUCUAUCAAACAAUACGAAAAUUUUCAAUUGAAUGCAAGACAUACUAUUUUAUAUAUCACAGUACUUCAUGGAUCAUCAUCAUCACAUAUCCUUAAUUCAAAGGUAAUAAAUGAGCAUCUAGUUUUAUUUUUAUUUUAUUUUAUAUAGGGACUACAGAAGCAAGCACCCUUUGUAAAUUAAACUCUAAAACUUCUCAAGUAUCUUGAAAGGUGCCAAAAGCCAUCAGCCAACUCCAGUUGAUGCAUAACCUCCUACAUUUACAAAAACAGCGUCGCCGUUAAUUUAUUGACUUCUUCCCAGGACACAUACCAAUUUGCGAAAGUGGUUUGACUGAUGCUAAUUAGUCGAGUAAAGUACAGUCUUUUCAAUUAAGCAGAUGCAAAACACUUAGUUGAGGCACUACAAAUAUGAUUUUUACCUUUAAUUAACGCGCUUCAAAAUCUGAACUGGACAUGUAGUUUGCUGAAGCAACAGUUUCAAGUUGCUGAUUCCCACUUAUACCAGCCUCCACCGUCCUCCUUCCAACAAAAAAUGCUGGCUUUGUUGGUGAUGCUAAUCGAAAGCUUUCAUUUGUCAACAUAGAUAUGACAUCUGACAUGGUAGGGCGAUCUGCUGCAUUUUCUUCUACGCAAAGCAGACCGACAUGGAUGCAUCUUAACAGUUGCUCUUUAAUAAACGAAUUUCCUAAUGUUGGAUCCGUUAAUUCUAGCCCUGCACCUUUUUUCCAUAACUCCCAUGCCUGAAGAACAAGGAUUGCAUUUCAUUCUAAAGAAGAAAAAAUAUGAUUAUAAAUUUUAAGAGAGAGAUUUGUUUGUCAUACAUAUCCUACUAAAUUGAGUGCGCGAUCGUCAUUGUAAAAGCUGUUGUUUUUCCUUCCACUUAUGAUUUCAAGCAUCAAUACCCCGAAACUGUAGACAUCAGACUUUACAGAAAUAAUUCCCCCCACGGACUCUGGAGGCAUGUAACCACUGCACGAAAUGAAAAAGAAAAUUAGUCAGUAUACUUAUCUGGAAAAAUGCGUGUUUAGCAGUCAAAAGGGGAGGACCACGUCAAUGUGAUGCAGAAAUACUUACAGUGUCCCCACAACCUUUCUAGUGUUUGCUUCCAAUUCAUUUUGGGUGAAAAUCCUUGCCAUACCAAAAUCUGAAAUUUUUGGGUUCAUGUUUUCAUCAAGUAGUAUGUUACUAGCUUUUACAUCUCUAUGAAUUACUUUCUUUCUUGAGUAUUUGUGCAGAUAAAGCAACCCUUGAGCAAUUCCUUCGAGAAUGCUAAAACGCUUCUUCCAAUCUAGUAGUAGACCUCUGAUUGGAUCUGUCCAAUAUGUAGAGUUAAGUAGGACUAAUAUUAAUUAAUAGUAGUACUCUAUGAACUUUGACAGUAAAAUAAAAAUCAGAUAGUAAAUUUAACAAAUGAAAUCAAGUAUCUUGGUUCCUCACCAAAUAAAAAGUGGUCCAAACUUUUGUUCUGCAGAUACUCAUAUAUCAACAUCAUUUCUUCACCAUGAAUGCAAAAUCCGAAAAGGUGAACCAGGUUUGUAUGUUGGAGUUCAUAUAUAAGUAUCAGUUCAUUCUUGAAUUCUGAUGUUCCUUGCCCUGAACAUUUCGAAAGCCUCUUCACAGCUAUUUCUUGUCCCGCCGCCAAUUUCCCCUGAAUUGAUAAUCCAUAUCAUGUUUUUGCUGUCAUCUUUAGGCAAAUGAAGCUAAUUCCUUUUUUUUUUCUUACAGCUUUUGAAUUAGAACUUGGGAGCAGCCUCUCCAUAAAUGGGGGUAAGGCUAGCCGACAUUCACCUCUCCCAGACCCUGCGUAAAGCGGGAGCCUUGUGCACUGGGUACGACAGCUUUUGAAUUAGAAGCAGAAAUUUUUUUUUUUCAAAAUGUUACCUUAAACCGGUCCAAACCCUCCUUGUCCUAGCUUGUUUUCUUCAGCAAAGUUGCUUGUGGCAGCCACGAUGGAUGAAUAGCUAAAAACGCUAAAAUCAUGAUGUCGCUUAGAUUUCAUGAAGAUAAUCAUUUCGUUCUCAAUCGUUGUCCGGUUCUCACCUAUACAGAUCAAUUAUAAGAAAUUAAAGUUUCAAUGGAGACAACAAUUGUCAAAGAUGUGAUUAAUAAUCCUGUCUUAUGUUGGAUUAUGUGGCCAAGUGGCCAUAUACUUUAGAUUAAACAAACCAAAGGUGGACAACACCUUUCCUUGUUUUGGGGAGGAAAAUAGGGAAAAGGUUUUUUGUCUUGGUCCAUGGGAAGUCACGGUUGAGGUUUUGAAUAAUAAGUUUUGGUUGUAAUGAGAAGUAAGAGUGGGAUAGAAGAGAAGAAAAUAGAGUGCAGAAAAUUGAGAGAGCCGAAGAGAAGAGAGGGAGAGAAAGAAGGUACUGCUACAGUACCAUUUUCAGAGAAGGGGUUGUUGUUCCUUUCAUUGGAUAAUUCUCACUCCAUCAAAGUGUUAUUGUUGUAAUAGCUUUGAGCUUUGUAUAGAGAAGAAAUUAAUCACUAUAUUUCUUUCUCUAUUUGUUUCUUUGGAGUGUGAGUUAUUGGGUUAUUUGGGUUGUGAGAUUGCCAACACUUUGUAAACUCCCAUUUGGUUGAUAGUGGAUUCUUGGGUGAGCUCCUACUGCUCCGAGGACGUACUCUAGUUACACUGACUGUUGAGGAACCUCGUUAAAAUCUUGGUGUCUUUAAUAUUUUGUUCUUGCAUUUUAUUUGAUAUAUUUCCUGUGGGUUAGCUUGAGUUGGUUCCACAAGGGUUUGGUGCUAUCCUAGCACAACAAUUGGUAUCAGAGCACUGGUUGCUCUUGGGUACUGUCUAGUUGCCAAAAAUGUCAGACGGGCAAGAUGAAAAUCCUUUUGGAAGCAGCUCCGGGUUUGCAAGAACGACGGUGCAAAAUGCAAAGUUCGAAGUGGAAAAGUUUGAUGGCACACAAACAACUUCGGGAUGUGGCAAUGUGAGGUCAAAGAUGUGUUGGCUCAACAAGAUCUACUUGCCGCGUUGGGAGAGAAGCCGGAAACUAUGUCGAAGCCGGAAUGGGAAAAAUUAAAUUUGUGGGCUUGCUCUUCAAUUCGGUUGUGCCUUGCAAAAACUCAGAAGUAUUUUGUGAUGCGGGAGACGGUAGCAAGUGUGUGUUGUGGCAAAAAUUGGAAGACAAGUAUAUGACAAAGAGUGCAGAGAACCGACUACACUUGAAGAAAAAAGCUCUACCGCUUCCAAUACAAAGAAGGUACAAAAAUGAUUAGACACCUUGAUGCUUUUAAUAAGUUGAUUGCCGACUUGUUAAAUUUAGAUGAGGAUAUUAAGGAUGAAGAUAAGGCCUUAAUAUUGUUGAAUUCCUUGCCGGACUCUUAUGAGCAUUUUGUUACAACUAUUAUGCAUGGUAAAGAAACUGUGAAAUUUGAAGAUGUGUCAAAUGCCUUGAUGAAUUAUGAAAUGAGGCAUAGAGAUAAAAAUCAUGAUAGUACCUCUGAAGCUUUAUUUGUUAGAGGUAGAUCAUCGGAGAGGAGGUCAUCUUCUAGCAGGAAAAAAUCACAGUCUCGACCUAGAGGAAACUCUAAAGGUAGAAAACCUUUGGAAAGGGAUGAAUGUGCCUUUUGUCGUAAUAAGGGCCAUUGGAAGAAAGAUUGUCCCAAAUUGAAGACCAAAGGAAAAGAAAGUUCUGAAGCUAAUGUUGCUGAGGUUGAAACAGAUUUUUCUGAUUUUGCUUUAACCACUUCCUCAUCAUUUGAUUGUGCUACUAAGUGGGUGUUGGAUACGGGUUGUACUCAUCAUAUGACUCCUCACAAGGAUUGGUUUUCAAGCUUGAAAGAGUUUUGAUGGUGGCGUUGUGUUCAUGGGAGAUGACAAUCCUUGCACAACAAAAGGGAUUGGUACAGUUCGUUUGAAGUUGCAUGAUGGCAUGGUUAAAGAGUUGACAGGUGUUCGGUAUGUACCGAAUUUGAAGAAAAAUCUUAUUUCUUUGGGUACUUUGGAAUCUAAGGGUUUCAGGUUUCAUUCAGAUGGACAGACAUUGAAAGUUACUUAUGGUGCACUUGUUGUGAUGAAAGCUCCUAGAUGUGGCCAUUUGUAUUUAUUGCAGGGAAGCACUGUGACAGGUGAAGCAUCUGUAGUCUCUGAAAAUAUGGGCACAUCUGAUUCAGAUACUACUAGAUUGUGGCAUAUGAGAUUAGGCCAUGCCGGUGAGAAAGCUCUACAAGGGCUUGUGAAAAAAUGUCUUCUAAAAGGUGCCACGACUUGUAAGCUUGAUUUCUGCGAGCAUUGUGUCUUGGGAAAGCAAACUAGAGUGAAGUUUGGUACUGCUGUACAUCAGACGAAGGGCAUUCUUGAUUAUGUGCAUUCGGAUGUUUGGGGUCCUACAAAGACUCCCCUCUUUGAGUGGUAGACAUUGGUUCGUGACCUUUGUUGAUGAUUAUUCAAGAAGGUCUUGGGUCUACACUAUGAAGCAUAAGAGUGAGGUGUUAAGCAUUUUCUUGGGUUGGAAGAAAAUGGUUGAGAACCAGACUGGGAGAAAGAUUAAGAUUUUGAGAUCGGAUAAUGGUGGUGAAUACACAUCCGAUCCUUUCUUUAAAGUUUGCAAAGAGGAAGGAAUUGUGAGACAUUUCAGUGUUCGGGGAACUCCACAACAAAAAUGGAGUUGCAGAAAGAUUGAAUCGAACCUUGCUUGAGAAAGGUUAGAUGUAUGUUGUCUCAGUCGGGUUUAAGCAAGUCAUUUUGGGCAGAAGCAGUUAAUUAUGCAUGUCACAUCAUCAACCGGUUACCCUCAGCUGCUAUUCAGGGUAAGACACCAAUGGAGGUAUGGACUGGAAAACCUUCUUCUGAUUAUGAUCAUAUUCGUAUUUUUGGUUCACCUGCUUAUUUUCAUGUAACUGAAAAUAAACUUGAUCCUAGAGCCAAAAAGGCUAUCUUUCUUGGUUUUAGUAGUGGUGUCAAAGGUUACAGGUUGUGGUGUCCAGAGAUGAAGAAACUGGUAAUUAGUAGAGAUGUGACAUUUGACGAAGAAAGUAUGUACAAAGUCUCUGAGAAGAAUGUGAAAGAUGUCCAACAGGUGGAGCUUGAGAAAGUUGCUUCUGGUACUUCAAAUCCUAUUUCCGCUGAUGUCGAAGCCACUACAAGUGAAGAAGUUGGAGACCAUGAGGAUGUUGAAGAAGUUGAACUUGAAGAUUCUAUUCAAGUUGAAGAGCAAGUUUCACCUCAAGAGUCUAUUGCCAAGAACAGAGGAAAGAGACAAAUUACUAAGCCAGCUCGGUAUAGUGAUUAUGUUGCUUUUUGCUCUUCCUAUUAUCACUGAAGAGAUUCCAUCCAAUUUUGAGGAAGCUAUUGAGAGUGAGGAGAAGAAUAGGUGGUGCAAUGCCAUGGGUGAUGAGAUGAAUUCUCUCUUGAAGAACAAGACUUGGGAGUUAGCUAAAUUGCCUAAGGGCAAGAAAGCUAUUGGUUGCAAAUGGGUGUAUGCCAAGAAGGAAGAUGCUGAUGAGAAAAGCAAUGUGAGAUUUAAAGCAAGAUUAGUUGCUAAAGGGUAUGCACAAAAGGAGGGCAUUGACUACAAUGAAAUCUUUUCUCCGGUUGUGAAGCACUCCUCAAUUCGCAUUAUGUUAGCUCUUGUUGCACAGUAUGAUCUUGAGCUUGUGCAACUUGAUGUAAAAACGGCUUUCCUACAUGGUGAUUUGAAUGAAGAGAUUUAUAUGUGUCAACCAGAUGGGUAUAUAGUGAAAGGGAAGGAGAAUUUGUUUUGCAAAUUGAAGAAAUCACUUUAUGGUUUGAAGCAAUCUCCAAGGCAAUGGUAUUUGAGGUUUGAUAAAUUUAUGAGAGGCCAAAAUUAUUCUAGAAGUCAAUAUGAUCAUUGUGUGUACUUCAAGAAGUUGCAAGAUGGGUCUUUCAUUUAUUUAUUGAUAUAUGUUGAUGAUAUGUUGAUUGCCUCAAAGAAUGUCGAAGAGAUUGAGAAAUUGAAGAAGCAAAUGAAGAAUGAGUUUGAGAUGAAGGAUCUUGGUGAAGCGAAGAAGAUCCUUGGCAUGGAGAUCACUAGAGAUAGAGCAAAGGGUUUCGUCAGUUUGAAUCAAAAACAAUACCUUGAGAAGUUGAUUCGGAAGUUUGGAGUUCAUGAUUCAACCAAACCGGUUAGUACCCCUUUGGCUCCUCAUUUUAAAUUGAGUUCUCUACAAUGUCCUAAAAUCGAUAAAGAGAAACUGCAAAUGAAAAAUAUACCAUAUGCAAAUUUGGUUGGUAGUUUGAUGUAUGCAAUGGUAUGCUCUAGACCGGAUAUUGCUCAUGCAGUUGGCAUGGUGAGUCGAUAUAUGCAUAAUCCAAGUAAAGAGCAUUGGCAAGCAGCUAAGUGGAUAUUGAGGUAUCUCCAUGGUACUCGAGAUGUUGGUUUAUGCUUUGAGAGGGAUGACUCUGGUAUUGGUCAUUUUGCAGUUGGUUAUGUUGAUUCAGAUUAUGCAGGUGAUCUGGAUGGAAGGAAGUCUACUACAGGCUAUGUGUUUACUAUGGCUAAAGGGCCAGUUUGUUGGAGGUCCAUUUUGCAGUCGUCUGUUGCCUUGUCUACUACAGAGGCUGAAUAUAUGGCAGUUGCUGAAGCUAUAAAGGAGGCCAUUUGGAUACAUGGGCUUAUUAGAGAUUUGGGGGUUGAUCAGAAGCAGGUGGAGGUACAUUGUGAUAGUCAGAGUGCCAUUUAUUUGGCUAAGUAUCAGGUUCAUCAUGCGAGGACCAAGCACAUAGAUGUGCGUUAUCACUUUGUUCGUGAAAUUGUUGGUGAAGGGGAAAUCAUUCUCCAGAAGAUUCCAACUAAAGACAACCCCGCUGAUAUGUUGACUAAGGUUGUUGGUGUAGCCAAGUUUGUUCACUGUUUGAACUUGGCUCACAUUUUGCCUAUAUAAAGAAGGCGUUGAGUAGUAGGAGUUUUGGAGCAUUUGGCUCAGCAUGAGUUGUUCUCUUGCUAGUGUUUGGGAGUGAUGUUGUGUGCUAAUUGUGUUGGUUGGCUUAUCAUGGCGUUUUCGGAACUUGGCCAAGGUGGAGAUUGUUGGAUUAUGUGGCCAAGUGGCCAUAUACUUUAGAUUAAACAAACCAAAGGUGGACAACACCUUUCCUUGUUUUGGGGAGGAAAAUAGGGAAAAGGUUUUUUGUCUUGGUCCAUGGGAAGUCACGGUUGAGGUUUUGAAUAAUAAGUUUUGGUUGUAAUGAGAAGUAAGAGUGGGAUAGAAGAGAAGAAAAUAGAGUGCAGAAAAUUGAGAGAGCCGAAGAGAAGAGAGGGAGAGAAAGAAGGUACUGCUACAGUACCAUUUUCAGAGAAGGGGUUGUUGUUCCUUUCAUUGGAUAAUUCUCACUCCAUCAAAGUGUUAUUGUUGUAAUAGCUUUGAGCUUUGUAUAGAGAAGAAAUUAAUCACUAUAUUUCUUUCUCUAUUUGUUUCUUUGGAGUGUGAGUUAUUGGGUUAUUUGGGUUGUGAGAUUGCCAACACUUUGUAACUCCCAUUUGGUUGAUAGUGGAUUCUUGGGUGAGCUCCUACUGCUCCGAGGACGUACUCCAGUUACACUGACUGUUGAGGAACCUCGUUAAAAUCUUGGUGUCUUUAAUAUUUUGUUCUUGCAUUUUAUUUGAUAUAUUUCCUGUGGGUUAGCUUGAGUUGGUUCCACAAGGGUUUGGUGCUAUCCUAGCACAACAUCUUACUGGUGCACAUGAUUUAAAGAAAUAUACCAGCUGAUGCAAGGGCUGAUCUUCUUCGUUGGAGUAGAUAGUACGCGGUGCAAAGCACUAGAGCAGCAGCUAUAGAAAUGCCAAUCCAAACCCAUUUAUCUGCUGCAUCAUAAACAAUUAGCUAGCAACAUAUGCAAUCAGCGUAACACACACGCACAUGUACGCAUUAAUUGUCUUCAAUUUUUGGAUGAACUAGGUCUUGCAGGUUUCUUCCAGAAAACGAAGAAAAAUCCGAGACAGAGAGCAGAACUUAAGACAACAAUAACAAAGAUAGAGGUACCUAAUAAUACUGAUUCCACGCGUGUCACAGAUUUCCGGCUUAAAUCGGGUUUGCAGCCUCGGUAUAUAUCCUUCGGAUCAAGAAAAGAAAACCCUUUUGGGCAUUCGCAGGUUGGCCUUUUAUCUGGUUUGAGCUUACAGGUACUGUUGUAACCGCAAACACCAACGCCCAGUCGUAGGCAAAUAUCAUCCGGCAUAUACACCAGAGGACUAAUCCAGCUUGCAUUUCCAGUGAAGUAUUUCGGGUGAGAAUAUAAAGCGAAAAUCCCAUCAAAAUCAAGAGUUGCCCUUAUGUAGUUGUCCCUCACCGACACUCCCUCUGUCCCCUUAAGAGGGACUCUUCCAUCAUUUUCUCUCAGAACAGACAUGUCCCCUGAGCUGCUGAACACCAAUUCUUUGCCUUGACUACCUGGCACGUUCCCUGCGGUGGUCUUCGUGGAGAAGUAAGCUUUCUUGGCCUUAUCUGUUGUCAAGUUGACGGAAAUGAGCACGAGGUUUCCAUCAUCUUGCAAGCGCAGCUGGAACCGCCCUUUUGUGUAGUUAGUCUCCGAUUGUCUACACGAAAGCUUCCCAUUUCUCUCAAUUGUCUGUCCAGGCAAAACGGUGUCUGUAGGAUUGCUGAAGGUCUCCCACAAGCUCCCCGAGUUUUGGUGUUGAAGGACAAAGUUUCCGGUGUCAUUCAUGACCCCGUUCGCAACAGUCCCCAAGGUUAUUUCGGAUUUCCAUAUCUCUCCACCCUGAGGAUUGUUAAGAACUAGUCCACUGUUGGCAGUCAAGUUCAGAACUGAUCCCCUAGGUGCAACCAUGGGGUUGUUACCGUCGUAUGCAUACCAAACCACGGUUUUGUCUGGGAUAUUCGCAUACCAUAUCGAAAGCAAGAAAAGAUCAUUGUUUCCGAGGGGCGAAAAUCCAAACUCGAAAUCACCGGAUGGAGAAAGCCAUGAUGAGGAGUCGCCUAUAGUUGCAGUUAGAGAACUCCCAACUGCUACUCUUCCAUUAUUUUGGGAAAUCACAGAAAUUGGUAGCAAAAACAAAGAGAACAAAAGCAUCUCUACAGAAAGAGCCACUGCCAUUGCAAAAGCACCAAUUUUUCAACUUGGCUUAACUGAUUAGCUAUAUUUCUUAGUAAAGCAUUGGUCCUUGUUUAUAUCUUCAAGUAAAUGUGUGUGCAUGUGCCUGUCAUUUUCUAAGUUUUUGCCUGGAAUCAUUUUUUGAAGUCAAUGUUACCCAUCAGCCACGAUAUGACCUCAGACCUCGCUACAUCACACACAAUAAUAUCUCCGGGCCUACAGAAUAAUUUCUCCAAACCUACACAUAUCACAAGAAUUUCACUUUGAAAAAAAUAAUAUAAUGAACAGUUUUAUAUAUAAGACACCGAUACCGAUACUUUUUGUGAUAGAACUUAUUGUCUCUCUCAAUUCCUUGUAAUGUUGCAAGUUGGAGCAAUAUUGAUGUAAUUAGUAAUGGCCCGCUAACUUGCCUCUCUCAAAUCUCUUUUCAUCCUACUCUCGUCCCUCGUCCGUUUUAUGAUUCUACUUAAUUAAGCACUUAUAAGUGUUCCAAAUCAAACUUGUAACUUAAAUAAUUAAAAAUAUUUAUCACUACACUGGGGAUUCUAGGUUCCAAAAUAUAAUAUAUAAUAUAUAUGAAUGUUCCAAACCAAAAGGACAAGUAAAUACGAGCAUGACUCACGCUGCAUGUGUCGGCCAUUCAAGUCCACAAGUCAAAAUUCAACAAUGGGGCCCACAAAGAAAAUUUGAAAAAGUACAUGCAGAUUGAGGACGUAUACAAAGAAUCUGAAAACAAACCUCCAGGACCAAACAAAGACGACUAAGUCUCCAUUUCUGUAUUCACACAAACCAAAGUACUAACUGAAGUUUUUAAUGUAUGAUUACGUCAUUGGGGUAAAACACCCGAGGCCGAGUUGAGAUAAUCACAGGGUUGGGGAAUCGAGAUCCUCUCCGAAUGUCACAGUCUGGCACAAACGAACGUAGAGAUCCGAACCACUUAUUUUAAAUUCUACGGUCUUCAUUAGCCUAUCCUAUUGGCCCACAUCACACAAGGGGCCCAAAUCUUUCUCUCCCCUCUCUUGAACGGUUUGGAUAUCUCGGUCUGUCGAUUUUGGAUUGGGAGAUUCAAAGAGAAUUUGAUUUCGGGUUUGAGGUGUGGUUCGCCGACCAUUUGAAGCUCGUUGAGGCGUGGCCCAUCUCAUCCACGUCGGGAUAGCCAUUUCGUACCAAGUUGGAUCCCAGGUCAGGCCAGUCAUUUCAUUAGCCUAAGAUAGACCUGACAGACGAGGCGCUUGGAUAUUGCCUACCGCGACCAAAUGGACCCAUGGGCUCAUUAGAUGAUGAGUCUGGACCCUGGGGUGUGUAAAGCCCACCUCAGCUCGAUCCAUAUUCGGUCGAUACUUAAGGGAAGGUGGAUAUGGGGUAAAGGUAGAGUAAGCUCCAAGCCAUGUGGAGGUCAGUCGAGAUUGAACACACAUUCAUAGAAUCAUAGUAUGAAAUUCAAGUCCAAAUUUUAACACUACGAAACCGAAAAGCAUGCAACUCCGAAGAGCAUUGUUUCAGUCCAACAACCUAAACUUCCUUAAAAAACUAAGACAAAAACGACGACACUAGUAAACGGAAAAACAUGCAACUCAGAAAACCAUUGCUCUAGUCUAAAUGAGGUUCCUCAAUGCCUCAAGCUUUUCUAAACACCAUAGCCUGAACCUUUUCCUUUGCGCCUUCUUUGCUUCACCAGAAACGUUCUUAAUGAGCUUCCUUCAAAUUUGGGACGAGCAGGCAUUAGGCUGUGCACAAUGCUGUAAAUGCCCCUAGCCCUUGCCACACCCUAGGUGCGUACGCUUGCAUGUCCGACCUGAGUUAUCUCAUUACGCGCGCAGUUUGAUCUUCCCGUAUUGACAUCCCUGCUGUCUAUUCUCAUGCGAAUCCUUUUGCUGGUGACUUCAUCCGGGUCCAUUUUCUUGCUCCUCAGUGCAUGUUCAUCUGCUUUUCCCUAUUAAUAAAUAUAGGAAUCCCAUAACAAACAGCAUUUGACAAAACAGAACGUAAUAAUAACAACAAAACUUGACUUCAUCCUCAUUGCAUGUUCAUCUGCUUUUCCACUUCAAAGCAGCUGACGGCACGAUUCGUACUUGGACUCCAAGAUGUCUAGAUUAUGGAGAAACUAUCCCUUUGUCCAAAACACACAAAGAAGUGGAUUUUCCGUUUAUACCAAGUGUGUUGAAGCAUGUCCCACAUGGCCACAUCGGAAACUUGUUGAAGUUUAAAUCCUCUUAUAUAGAAAGUUCGACUACUAAUUGCCUUGAGGCCUUAAUUUUGUAUAAAACCAUACCUAUUGAAUUGCACACGUGCUUAAGUUAAGGUUAGUAUUAAUGGUAAUUAGUAGUGGGCCGCUGGUCGUCUUCAAAAAACUGGUACAAAGGGAAGAUUUAUAGAAGCAGUGUUGAGAUAAAGGCAAUUCAUCUGUUCUUUUUAGAAGGAUAUAAAUGAAGCAAGGUUUAUCUGCUCACCCGUAAUGCGGCUCAGCCCUUCAUCAAAAAGUGAAAUAUCAAAAUUACUUUUACAGCAAGAGCAAUACCAGAAGAUGUAAUCUAAAUUGUUUAUAUUUGGUUCCCUUGAAAUCCUUUUGACUGUUUCAACAUAGUAUAUGUUGGUAUUUAAAAGUUUAGAAACUUAAUACCAAUUAUGUGGGUGAUAGGUUUUCUAACUCUAUCACACCUCUAUCUCUUUUACUCUCUUUGAAAAUGGAUCGAUAGAAAGAAAAAACAGCAAGCUUCUUAAAGAAACAAGUACUUGAUAUAUUAAAAGAGUUUCAACUCUAUUGCUGAAAAUAUGGAAUGGAAUUACAAAGAGCCUUACGGAAAGGCAUUCUUAUACUUGCAAAAAACAAGAGAACCACACAAGUGGUUUUCAUAAACAAAUGCAAACAAAGACUUUCUAGACUUAGCUAGUGGAAAACUAUCCAUGCAAAAUAAAAUAAAGGGGUUCAAAGUCUUUACUUGCAGCAGUUUUAGACUAUUGAACACACACACACACACACUACUUUAUUCUAGUGGUUUACAACCACAUUUCGGCUAGCACAGAAGAGAAGCAUUAAUUUGGGUAAGUGCAGGAAGUAUGAGUCAAAAGAAACAGCUAGCAGCCCACUAACAUUGAAAUAAUGUUUUUAUUUGAACUUCCAACACUCCCCCUCAAAUCAAAACACCUUCAUUCCUAGCAUGUCAUGCAGCAGCCGGAAUGAUUCAAUUGGCAGUGGCUUUGUGAAGAUGUCAGCCACUUGUUCCUUGGUGUGACAAUAGAUAAGCUCAAUUAUCUUUUGCUUCACAUGAUCCCUCAGAAAAUGGAACCUGGUAUCGAUGUGCUUGCUCCUUCCAUGUUGAACAGGAUUCUUUGCAAGCUUGAUUGCAGACAUGUUAUCCACAUGAAUCACAGUAGAUUCCACUUGUGGAUGACAUAAAGAUUUCAACAGAUUUCUUAACCAAAUUGCCUCACACACAGUUAAGGCUGCAGCAACGUACUCGGCUUCACACGAUGACAGAGCAAUAAUUGAUUGCUUCUUUGAAGUCCAUGAGAAAGCUGUUGAUCCUAGAAAAAACACAUAGCCAGUUGUACUUUCCCUUUCAUCUUGGUCACCUCCCCAAUCACUAUCUGAAUAACCAAAUAAUUUUGCAUCUUCACCAAAAUUAUAAAACAGACCAUAGUUUAGAGUGCCUCUUAUGUACCUUAAAAUUCUCUUGGCAGCCAACCAAUGAGACUCAUUUGGUGUUUCCAUGUACCGACUCACGAGUCCAACACCAUAAACUAUAUCUGGUCUUGUGAUUGUAAGGUACCUCAAGCUUCCAACGAGGCUUUUGUACACGGUUGAGUUUACAAGCUCACCUUCUCCUUCCUUGGACAGUUUCAAUCCAGUUGCAACUGGAGUGUUGACAAUAUUGCACUUGUCCAUAUUGAAUUUCUCCAAUAUAUCUCUCAUGUACUUUUGUUGAGAGAUGUAGAUACCGUUACUUUCUUGCUUCACCUCUAUGCCAAGAAAGUAUGACAUUAAUCCAUUGUCAGUCAUCUCGAAUUCACUGAACAUGGAUUGCUUGAACUCACAGAACAUUGCUUCAUUGUUUCCUGUAAACAACAAGUCAUCUACAUAGAGACAAAUAAUUAAGAACUCCCAUUUUUCACCGUUCUUCAUGUAAACUGAAUGCUCGUAUGGACAUUUCUGAAAUCCAUUUUGGUGAAGGUAGUUAUCAAUCCUUGAGUUCCAAGCUCGUGGUGCUUGCUUGAGGCCAUACAAAGCCUUUUUCAAAUGAUACACCUUAUCUUCUUCUCCUUGUACUCGGAAGCCUUCCGGUUGUUUCACGUACACUUCUUCCUCAAGAACUCCAUUAAGGAAGGCUGACUUGACAUCUAGUUGAUAAAUUUUCCAUUUAUGAUGAGUGGCAAGAGAGAUUAGCAAUCUUACCGUGUCAAGUCUUGCAAUUGGAGCAUAGACUUCAUCAUAGUCCACUCCAUACUUCUGUUUGUAGCCCUUUGCUACAAGCCUUGACUUGUAUCAAUCCACACUCCCAUCUGCAGUGCGUUUGAUCUUGUACACCCACUUGACACCAAUAGCCUUCUGAUUUGGUGGGAGCUUUGUCAACUCCCAAGUGUCAUUCUUCUCGAUGGCAUGGAUUUCUUCCUCCAUGGUUAUUCUCCAACGAUCUUCUUCCACAGCUUCAUUGAAUGAGAGAGGCUCGUGGUCUACAUACAAGCAGAAAAAAUUGGUUUCUUCUUCUUCUUCUUGUCCAUAUAUCUCGGUGAGACUUCUUAGCCUCACUGGAGUUGAUGAGCUGCUUUCCUCACUGGAUGUAGGACCACUCCUUGCAAUUCUGUGCACUGGAGUUAUUGUGGUUAUUUGAGCAGGUUGUUGCUAGAUAGGUGGUACAACUUCUGGUUCUUCAAAAUCAGUGGAAACAAUCUUCUCUUUACUGACUUCUUUGUUGUUCCACUUCCAUGCAUCUUCCUCACUGAAGAUGACAUCUCCACUAACCACUAAUUUGCCAGUUAGUGGGUUGUAGAGCUUAUAUGCCUUUGACUCUUCACUAUAGCCCACAAACACACACUUUUCACCUCGAUUAUCAAGCUUCCUCCUCUUGGCUUCUGGAACCUGAGCAUAUGCAACACACCCAAAAACUCUUAGGUGUGCAACAUUCGGCUUGUAUCCACUCCAAGCCUCUUGUGGUGUCAUCCUCUUGACACUCUUUGUUGGACAUCGAUUCAACAAAUAAAUUGAACAAGCUACAGCUUUUGCCCACAAUUCUUUUGGCAAAUUCUUCUCCUUAAGCAUGGACCUUGCCAUGUCAAGGAUGGUUCGAUUCUUUCUUUCGGCUAUUCCAUUUUGCUGUGGGGUAUAGGCAGUAGUCAGUUGAUGCCUAAUUUCUUGCUCCUUGCAAUAUGCUUGGAAAGCAUUGGAGGUGUACUCUCCACCUCUAUUUGAUCUCACAGCCACAAGCUUGUGGUUGCUUUCAGCCUCUGUGAGUGCCUUGAACUCCUUGAAAACUUUUAGGGCAGCUGACUUCUCCUUGAGAAAAUAGACCCAAGUCUUCUUACUGAAAUCAUCAAUGAAGGUAAUAAAAUACCUAUUACCUCCAUAGGACAUAGGAUCUAACGGACCACAUAUAUCCGUAUGUACCAACUGCAGUGGUGCUUUUGCUCUCCAUGCAUCACCAACAGGGAAUGUGAGCCGUGUUUGCUUGCCAAGCACACAACCUUCACAUACUUGGCGUGUGGCUUCAAUCUGGGGUAGACCACGAACCAUUCCUCCACUUGACAGCAACUUUAGGCCAUUGAAAUGAAGAUGGCCAAACCGAAGAUGCCAUUUCCAUGACUUAUCUUCCAUUACACCGAUGUUGCAACUCCCAAUCCUUGUGUUCAACUUCAAUGGGAACAUUCGGUUCUUUGACAUUUGAACACGUGCAAUAAGUUUUCUCCUUGCAUUCCUAAGAGUGAGAAACAUAUCCUCCAUAUGUAUAAUAUACCCUUUCUGGAGCAGUUGACCAACGCUCAGAAUGUUGCUCUUCAUACCUGGUAUGUAGUAGGUAUCGAAGAUGUAUUCUUCUCUACCAUCCUUCUGGAUGAUUUUGAUCUUUCCUUUGCCUUCAACUGGCAACUUUGAGGAGUCACCAAGACUCACAGAUCCAUAAGGCCCAUCUUUGAGUUCGGCAAAAAACUCUUUCUUUCCACACAUAUGGUUGCUUGCACCAGAGUCCAAAUACCAAACAUCUUGUUGGUUACUGGAAUCAUGGUGUGCUAGUAAGACUGUAAAUUCCUCACCAGCAUUUCCACUUGAUUCUGCCAUGUUGACAUGCUCACCAUUUUUAUAUGAACAUUCACCUUUCCCAGACCCUGCGUAAAGCGGGAGCCUUGUGCACUGGGUACGACCUUUUUUUUUUUUUUUAUUCAUUGGCAUAAUGUCCAUAUUGCUUGCAACUGUGACACUGGAUAUGUGCCUUUCCUCGAGUAGAUCUGCAUUCUUGAGACUGAGCUCGAUUUUGUGCAUAGCCUCUACCUCUUCCUCGGGCUCGUCCUCGGCUACAGUUGGAUGAAUUCCCACGACGUGAGUUCCACUGCCCACGACCUCCAUUUGGUUUGUCAAUAUUCAACUUUGACUCCAAAGCUUGCUCUAGCGUUGUGGGGCUUGCAUUCUUCUGAAUGCGUUGCUCGUGAACUAUGAGGGAUCCUAGUAGCUCCUCUGCGCUCAUCGCCUCCAAAUCCUUGGAUUCCUCAAUGGCAGUCACCACAUGCUCAAACUUAGAUGUGAGUCAUGUGAGUGACUGGAGUAUCUUCUCCACAACUCGUACUUCAUCGAGUCUCUCGCUAUUUAUCCUCAUCUGAUUUACUAUCACAAUGAGCCUUGAGUGAUAGUCGGAGAUGCUCUCCCCUUCAUUCAUGUGAGUAGUUUCAAAAUCUGCUCGAAGUGACUGUAACCUCACUUUCUUGACUCGAUCUACUCCUUUGUAGAUUGUACUGAGUGUGUCCCAUACUUGCUUGCUCGUUGUUGCUUCUGCAACCUUCUCAAACGUUGAAUCUUCUAGACCCUGGUAUAGAAGAUACAACGCCUUCUGGUCCUUCUUUCGUAAGUCCUUGAGAGUGUUCCUUUGUUCUGCAGUAUAUGCGGCUUCUUGAUUGGCAGUGGGUACAACAUACCCAUUACUGACAACUUCCCAUAGCUCCUGUGAUCCAAACAAUGCUUUGAAUUGGAUGCACCAUCUUUCAUAAUUUUCUUUCUUCAAUGUGGGAACCUGGAGCUGCACUAAGUUGGACGCCAUAACUGCUGCACUUGCCAGAAUGGUAUUCUGGCUCUGAUACCAAUUGUUGGUAUUCAAAAGUUUACAAACUUAAUACCAAUUAUGUGGGUGAUAGGUUUUCUAACUCUAUCACACCUCUCUCUUUCUUUUACUCUCUUUGAAAAUGGAUUGAUAGAAAGAAAAAACAACAAGCUUCUUAAAGAAACAAGUACUUGAUAUAUUAAAAGAGUUUCAACUCUAUUGCUGAAAAUAUGGAAUGGAAUUACAAAGAGCCUUACGGAAAUGCAUUCUUAUACUUGCAAAAAACAAGAGAACCACACAAGUGGUUUUCAUAAACAAAUGCAAACAAAGACUUUCUAGACUUAGCUAGUGGAAAACUAUCCAUGUAAAAUAAAAUAAAGGGGUUCAAAGUCUUUACUUGCAGCAGUUUUAGACUAUUGAACACACACACACACUACUUUAUUCUAGUGGUUUACAACCACAUUUCGGCUAGCACAGAAGAGAAGCAUUAAUUUGGGUAAGUGCAGGAUGAGUCAAAAGAAACAGCUAGCAGCCCACUAACAUUGAAAUAAUGUUUUUAUUUGAACUUCCAACACUAUAUGCAGAGAGAACCAGAACCAAGUCCAGACUCACUCGUAAUAGGUCUCUCCUCAUCCACAACAAUAUCCCAGCUUUCCCUUGUCGUGGUUUUCCCAUAUUUGUGCACCUUACUGCAAAGAGAGAGCAAGUUAACUUGUCAAAGAAAAACCAGAACAAUAGAUGCCAAUGCAGUUCAGAAAGUUUAUUUCCCUUCAUACCCAUUUCCAAAGUGCUCUUCUCCCCAUGUCCUUGACCAACCUAGACAUGAGAGAACAAAAACAAAGUCACAUCAGAUUAAAUUAUUGAAAGAAAAAGGUUCACUUACAAAUCGACAUUAGAAUCAAGCAACCACGCUAUGAAAUACAAAUUUAAAAUGUAACAAUUUACUGUGUCUGAAAGGAAUCUGUGAAAUAAAAUAGUUAAACCCUAAACAGCACCACUGCAAAUAGCAUAAGAAAAUUAAAAUUAACCCUAAAGAAAUUGGGAGAGAAGAAUAUGAAAAGGGAAUACCUUUCGGCCCUUUGAGUUAUUGGAAAAAACCCAACAGAGCAAAAGAUAAACAAAAAUACAGGAGGAAAGAAAAUAAAUUUUCAACUUGUAAGAUUCAUACACGAACAGAUUGGCGGUCAAAAGCAUUUCGAAACUCAGAGCCAUCAAGCUUUUUGAUCUGCAUGGAAAUUAUUUAUGAAGUUUGAGAUUCUUAUAGAUGCUUUAGACACAUCGACAUAUUGAAAAAGCAAUAUUCAACAACCUAGUACCCAUGCUCCCUAGAAGGGUACAGAAAAUAUGAAUGUCUGGACUCUGGAGUGAGAAAGUAAAAGGACUUGCCGCAUACUUCAUAUCUUCCAAGUUUGUGUAGUCUACAAUCCCUGUUGUGCCUACAAAAAAGGCAUAGGACAAAAGCUAAAUCAAUCGAAAUUCUGAUGUCUCAUGAUCUAGGUCUUAGGAUUAAACUACUGAAAUAACACUACAUGAAAUAGCUGUGUAUAUCCCAAAAAAAGUAUGAAAUCUGGUUGAUAAUUGAAGACUUCGAAGGGAUUUACCUUUGGAUUCUUUGGCUUUCAGAUGGAGUUUGCUUAUGUGUGGGGGAGAGAGGUGGAGCGGCUAGGGCUUGAGUAUGGAAGAGAUGAAAAAUGCAGAGAGCACCUGUUUUCGCUGAAGCAACUCACACACUCUGGACAAAUCUGCAAAUGUCUAAAAGGGGGAAAAUAUAAAAAGAAACCUUAACAACUGAAUUCAAAGAAACAUUAUUACAUUGUAAAUAACAUUUCACAAAAAAAAAAAAAAAAAAAAAAAACUGAACUAAACUAAUUACACUCGGAUUGCAAUGCUAUCAUUUAAUAAUAGGAAUUCCCAUAACUUAGCAGAAGACCUGCAUCUGCAAAGGAUUCUUUAAAACCUAUUUUUUUUGAACAACCCCGCACCUACAACACAUCCAGGCAAGGUAAACCAAUAGCACCCUCAUUCUAAGCUCUUCUGUGCAUAUAUACCCCUUAUAAGUAAUCUUAAUCAAUCAGUUAUCAUGAAUAUAGUCAGUUAUCACGAAUAUACAACUUAUAUUAAUUUUCUACAAUAUCCAACACACAAAUAUAACAGAAGAGGAAACUUUUACUUAAGCAGCACAAAAUGAUAUCCUUUGCAUUUCAUUCCAAAAUCCAUCACUCUUAUGUCUUUGCCUGCACAGUUUUUGCUCCAACAUAGCCCGCCAUGAUGAUAGCACUAUCAAUAAUUAAGACAUAAAGAAAGGCUAUCCUAGCUAGGUAUUAUCAUUGGAGUAAACCAACAACACCAUAAGUAAAGUAGCAGACCAAAUUUUUUCUAGAAUUGAUGUCUUAACAUGUUUAAGUAGCGAAAAGAUUACAACACAUUGGAUGUGUUAACACAUCCAUAAGCUAAUGACUCCCUCUCCGGAUCACUACAUCAUUCUUAAUGUAUUCAACAAUGCAGCAGCAAUUAAAAGUCCUUGGAAAAUGCCAAGCUACUACAAUGACAUAACGAAAAACUAUAUCUCACCUUACCCCCUUGUUGGCAUAGACUGCAUAUCCGCCCUUGUUCGGGGUGAAUCAUAAUCCUGAACUCAAUUAUCAUCAUCGUUGAGAAUGUCAAACUUUAAAUCAACCAUGCAUGGAACAAAACUUAGAAAUUAAACAAUUAUCAAAGCUUAUGAAGAAUGCUAAACCCAACUAAUUCGAAACAUAAAGUAACCCAAAAGAGAGAAAACUUAUAAAUUUUACAUAAAUUAUAAUCCUUAACAGAAGGAUGGAACAAAGCAGGUUCAUUCUUGAGAAUAGAUGUAAUUUUGCACAUUGCAUAUAUGUAGAUUAAGGCUGGUGGUAACAUACCUUGUAAUUUGUACAAAUUAGGAUUUUCAUUCAAAGAACCAUAAUAUACACAAUUACAAAAACAGUGAUUCAAACUUGUUCUUCUCUUAAGGAAAUUACUCACAGUUGAAAUUCUGAAUGGACGAAGUUUUGGCAUCCCUUUCUGACUAUAUUUGAUUAACCUUUUUUUAAUCCAAUGAGUGCCUUCAUGAGAGAGAGAGAGAGAGAGAGAGGAAUAUUAGGUGAAAUGUAUUGCCAAAUCACACAGAGAUCAAAAUCUUGAAUAUAUAUGUUUAACCAUAUCAAAGUGAGUGUGUGAAAGGGUGUAGUCUGCAGAAAGGGCAACAUUUUCACUGCUAGAAAGUUGGAAACUAAACUUUUACACAGAUAUUGGAUUUUAUUAAUUCCCUCCGCGAAUUGAAAAGCAAAUUGUUCGAGUAAUGCAGGUAAAUUCGAUAUACAUAUGCGUUGAUCUAUGUAAGACAGUUAUAAGUUAUAACUGUAUCGUCUUAACACAAAAAUGAUCAUAAAUGUAAGUGUCUGUAUUAUGGAAGUAAGGGACUUACAGCAAUUGCUAUGAGCUAUAACAGCAGUCACUCCAAGUACCCUAUUAUGGAAGUAAGGGACUUAUAUCAAUUGCUAUGAGCUCUACCAGCAGUCUCUCAAAGUGGUGCAACGGCUAAAAUUAUAAAUAAAAAGUAAUUUAAACAAUUUAACUUAAUAAAAUAUUGUAAUUUAAACAAUGCCUAUAUAUUCAAACAUCCCAAAACAGGAAUGAACUUCCAAAAAACAUGCGCAUGAAAAUAAACGGCAUUACUCACCCAUUGAGUUGGACCAUCAAACUGGAGCGUAAGAAGGAUCAUCAUGUACCUAUGAAACCCAAAGGAAACUUUUAGCAACCCCAAAGCUUGUAUGCAAGCGUGAAUAAGUAUGCGUGUAUGAAUCUAUUCAUAGUGAAGAAGGCUACCUUAAGAAAUAUUUGCAUCUGCAGCUUCAUAUGGCCAUACAACAAAAAGCAUCGCAUAUGAUAACAAACCCCAGCUGCACCACAAAAGGAAUAUGAUCUUCCUCUCAACUUGUAUUUGCAGUUGUUACUGUAACAUCUGCAGACAGCAUACAUAAGCACUGAUUCGAAAAUUCUAAAGGAAAAAAAGUCCUUAUUCGAUAAUGCACCAAAUCCUAUCCGAAAACCAAGGGGGUGCCAUAUCCCUAGAUUAACAGAGCAUCUUUCUUUGUUCCAAAACAAAUUGCAAUUGGCUUUGGUAAAGUAGAAAGAUUACCAGAUACCGACUCUGUUCCAUUAUUCGACUGUCCUUUUAGUUCUGUCUCUCAACAUGGGAAAUACAAUAAGACAGUAAAAACAAAAGUUAGUGAUGCUAUUACAUAGUGAAAGAAAAUAAGACAUUCACAUAUUGAUAGCUAUUUACUGUCCUUUCUCAUCAUAAUCUUGGCCCAUAUAUAUAUAUAUAUAUAUUGAAUUUUGAAAGCAAUGAGAGAAAUAUACCUUUGGGGCGUCACUGCCAGAAGGGUGAGUGAGGGAUCUAAGAUGUUUGAGAGCAGAAAUUUUUAAGUAAUUUGUGCGAAAAAGUUGAAGAGCUUCGAACAGAGUGGAGUGGGUUGGCCUGGGCUAAAAUAAAGAGGAUGAACUCUAGAAAGUAGAAAAUGUUGUGUUCAACCAAACUCAAAAGUAAAGAAACCAUACAAUUAACAUAUAAAUAAGUUUUAUAUACCAAUGAUUACAUGUACGUUGUUUGAGAAGGUAAAUUAGCAACAUAUACAGUGAUCAAAAGAUUAACAGCAAUAAACUGCUCAUUAUUCAAAAUAUACAAGAAAGUUGUCAUUCACAUGAUCCAAAUGGUAGAGGACAAAACAGAAGGAAGCAAAUAUUAUAGCAGCAUAAGUUGAAUAAUUGCAGCAAGUAAACAAAUAGAAAGGCUAGCUAGAUUACACAAUCCAGUUCUAGGUCAGACUAACCAUGUUAGCCAUCCGCCCACCACCAUCACCGUCGGCUUCUUAUUAAAAAUGUAGAAUAGAAGACUCAAAAACUGGAAAUGAAAGUAGGUAACAUUGAGUUUUAAUAACCAAAAAGGGACACUGUUUAAGCAGCUCCACAACAGCAAUAAUACUUGGACGAUGAGCUGCAAAAACAGAAAAGAAAACACAAAUUAAACUAAAAAAAUAUAAAAUUUAACACUAAUCCAAGGAUUAAAUAUCAAAUAUAAAGUCAUUAGGAUUGGGACCUUUGCAUUGAGGAAUAUCUACUACAUUAUGAGUUCCCUCCUGAUAAAGCCCAAUCAGGGGGUUUUCCGAUGAGCCAAGAACGGCUAACUUUGCGUGACACCGCCAUCCCCACUAACACCAAACCAAGAUAAUAUCAAGAUCAAAACUAACCAAUACCAGAAAGAUUUUUUUAUUUAAAUUUUAAGAAAAGACCUAAACUUUACGAAAUUAAGGGGGAAAACAAAGUUAAGUAAAGCACCAAUUUGCAACUGUCAAAAGUGAAAUAUGAGACUGCAACUGCCUAGAAGAACUCCGUGGCCUCAUCGACGAUGACCGGAUGGUGGAGAUUGAACUGGUGCGUACACCUGGAGCACCUGAUUAUACACCGAACAUAGAACAAAAUUUAAAUCAAGUCGAACAAUAAUUGUGAGAAAAUAAACUAAAAGGGAUUUGAGCUGAGAGUUACGAUUCGAAGUGCGGCAAUGGAGGGUGCAGGUUAGCGGCGGCAGAGGAGGGGUUGAGCUUGGGCUCAGUGAGAGAGAAGGUAGUGCUAAAGGCACUAUUUGUCAGCCAAUCAUGUAAUAGGCACACCACUUUUCUAUAUAUGACAAAAAUUAGGAGUUCUCCAAACUAAAGCAUGAAAUUAGAUUCACCAGAGAAUUGGAAAUUGCACAUGAAAAAAAUAAUAUACAUCAUGCCAUUUGUGAUUUUGAAAGAAAAAAAGAAUACCUUCUUCAGGUCCGCUUUAGUAGGUGGAGGCUCUUGAUAGAAGAUUGGCAUUGGAGUCGUUUUACAAAUCAGUUUCUUCCUGAACAUCCUAAUGUCAGCUUCUAGAGUUUCCUGUAAAAGAACAGACAACAUUCAUAAUAAGAAAAUCUCUCUCUGCAAUCGUAGAAAUCCCUCGGGUUUCAGGAAGCAAAUGGAAAACGAAAUGCUUUUCUCCCGUAUCUCUCUCUCUCACCUCUGUCCCAUCUCUCUGUCUCCAAAUCGCAGAAAAGAAACCCUAAACAAAUCCCUGAAAUCCCUCGCCUAAAUCCUCCCACAUUUCUCUCGGACACCCCCCUCUUUCUCUCUGCAAACCCUAAACCAAAUCUCCUAAAUCCUAUCUUUGACACCCCACAUACAGCCAAGAUAUUAAAGCAAUCUCUAUAUAAUACUUUGGAACAAUGAAGAAAAAUGGUACUUACUUGUUCCUUGUCCAAAACCGUUGGUGCUGCCGCACAUUGUUAUCAAUUGUGGGUUGAUCAAAUCCUUCAUGGCUUAGACUGCAUGAAGAAUUAGAAACUAAAAGAUGAAUAUAUGCCGUAAAUCAUCAUAUAAAUGUAAGUGCAUUUAAAAAAAAAAAGGGAAUGACAAAAUUGAAUUCUAUUUCAUCAGUAUGUAACUGCAUGAAAAGUUACUUUGAAUGAAGACUCGAUCAAUUUCCCCAAAGUCAUUGUUAACUGAAAAUCAAUAUCAAACCCAUAAAUACCACAUUGAAUUUGACCAAGUUAAAGGAUAAAGGCACUCGCAUCAUCGUAUUACUCUUUGGGAAGAUCUUCUAAUAAUGGUUCUUCCUUUUUCUUGCUCUUCCUUAGAACUGCCAUAAAAACCCCAGAGAAGCAUACAAAUUCAGAAAAGAAAAGGUUCAAAACUGCCAUAAAAAAAAUCUAGAAAGCAUACAAAUUUAUCAGAAAGAAAAGUUCAAAUUACAAAUACCAAAUGAUGUGAGUAAGUAGUGAGAGGUUGUGUUAGGCACCUGAAACACGUUUUGGUUUCAAUUGAAAGGGCCAGAGACAACAUCCACAUUCUUUUUUCUUGGGUGAACUAACCAAAUCAUAUUAUAUACUAAAACGACAUAAAAAAUCAUUCACAAACUCACAACAAAAUAGAACAAAAAGAUUCACAAAAGAUUUGGGAGUUGAGACGCUAACAAAAACAUUUCUUUUCUAAACAAAUACACAACCGCUAAUCUGGGUUUGGUCAGUUUGACUAAAACGGUGCGCUAUUUUGCAUCUAAAUAUAGUAUAUCGCUUAAAUAAAAUUAAUAAAAAAUACACAUCCAAUGCUUUUAGUCUAAAGCUAGAAUUAGGAAUAACUGAGGAAGUUAAUGAAGGCAAAGCAGAGGGUAGGAAGCAGAACAUACCAAGAGACCAGUAGGCCAUCGGGGCCGGUCUGCCGAUGAACGCUGUGUACUGGUUGACAACGCCCAACGGAGUUGGCGCAGAAAAGAAGUAAAAGUCGAAACCACCCUCAAUGACCUUGUAGGUGAGAGAAGUCCCUCUGUAGAACACAUCCAUGCCAUUGCUGUUGAGCAGCAAAACGGAGUGCGCGUAAGCCUCGUUGCCCACAUUCCGGAGAUCCAUGUAAACUGGGUGGGACCCGUACAAAUCAGUGUUGAGAUUGAUCGCUGAGAAGUUAGUGGUGAAGAGGAUGUAUUUAUCGUUCGGGUAGAGCUUGAUCCCGUGCGGCUGAGAGUUCUCUUCGAGGCCGUACAAGGAGGAGUAUUUCGGCACUCGGGUGGAUAUCUUGAGGUCUAGUCCUUAAACACCAGUACUAGUCCAAUAAACCACUCCGCUUUUAUUGAUUUUCAAUUCAUGUUCAUUCGGGUCCCAAACAAGACUGAACGGCCCCAGAGCCGGGUUGUAGGUAUCUACAUAUGAUAUAAGUGCCCACGUGGCCAUCAUUGCGGUUGACACCUAACUUCAUACCCGGUAAAAAUGUGUAUCCAGGAUAAUCACUUCAGCCGAUCGAGGGUGAUUUGAGGUGUUUUCUAGCUGAAUUGGACUUCGACCCAAGUAUGAAAGUUGUUCCUCUUAUCGAGAUCUUCAUUCAUGUAAAAUUUGGGAAUUUUAGAAUUGUUGAAUUCUCCGGCGAGUCAGGGCUACCAGCCGCCACGUGUUUCGGCGCAUGGCCCUUUGGCCGCUGUCCCGUGGCGACUCGUGCGGUGAUGUAUGCAGGAAAACCUAAGGUUCCUCCUUAGGUUUUUCAAUGUACCAAACCCGAAUCCGCCGUCCUUUUUUCAAAAUUCUAACGUUUUCAUAGAGUUUUAUUAAACGACCUUUAAUUGUGUUUAGGUGCAUCGGUGGAGGUGACCUCAUUCUUGAUGGUUCGAGCGGCUUUCGGGCAAUGGAAAACUUGUGAGUGGACCCCUUCUAAACUUAUAUAUUGUUAUAAAAUAUUAGCCUAGCAUGCAUUCCAUAUUUCAUGAUUUGAAUAUGAUUUAUAAUAUGCUUUAUGGACUUUUAUAAUUAUGGUUUACGAAAUAGUUUGAUUUAUCGAAAUUACGUUUUAUUAGGUAUUGAAUUAUUGGAUUUGCAUAUAUGGAUUUCUAUGGUUUUCAAAUACGAUUUAUAUUACGGUUUUACGAACAUGAAUUAUUUUAUGGAUUUCAUGAAUACAAUUUAUCUUGGAUUUAUGAGAUGAGAAUUUGAGCUAGUGAGCUCCGGGUUUGAUAUAAGUUUUGAGAUAUGUUUUUGGUACUUAUCUAGUGGGUUAUCAUACGGCACAUCCGCACACCACGGGUAUAGAAUUGUAUGGCCAUAGGACACAGAUGAUGAGGAGGAGUAAGAUAUGAUAUAUUAUAUACCCCCAGUUCACUGUCGAAAGUAGUGUCAGAUAACUUCACUAGCCAUGGCUAGUGUCGGUAUGGAUGUUAUGCUAUUUCAUACAGCUUCACCUUCGGGUGAUAGACAGGUUAUUUAGCUUCACCUUCGGGGUGAUGGACAUGUACUACCUUCGGCCAACUAUGAUAGCCUUUGUUGAGUACUUCACUGACAAGAUUUACAAAUUUGCCUUCGGGCGACGGCAUUUUCAUUAUCAAGCAUUGGAUUUUACAUAUCUACCUUCUAAAUGGAUUUUCAUGGCAUGCUAGGGUUUUUCAUAAAGCCUAUAUGUAGUAUUAUAUAUGUUUUCAAAACAAGGGGUUAUUAUGUUCAUAAAUAAAAUGUUUUCCUAUUAUUAGUAUUAUUAAUAUAAACUUUGGUCCACUCACAUUUUCAGUUUUUGCGCCUCCACAGGAGUUAGGAUCGAGGCACAUGAUCCCGGCAUCAUGGCAUGUUGAUAUAGGUAUCCUUGAAUCUUCCCAGUGUAGAUAUCAUUCCCUUAUUCAUAUCUUUUUAUAGUGAUUCUUCCCUAUUAUUUCUAAUUAGUUGUAUGCUCUAAACACAUUCCUGCUUUGGUAUAAUCGUUAUAACUACUUAUCUUGUAAUUGUUUGCAUGUUUAAAAUGGUUUCGUCACCCUUGGGCGUGGGCUAGCACGUGCCUACCCUGGUAUGUUGGGAUAUCGGGGUUGGGGCAUGUCAAAGAUAGAGAGUGAAUUUCUAGCAGAUUCAAUGGUUGUCUACAUUUUAAAAAGAGCUUGCCGAAAAGAUUGAUUCAGAUGAAAUAACAAAGGAUUUCAAUUCCAUUAAGGAUUGAAGGGCACAACUUGAAUAGGUAUUUUUCUUUUUAUUUGUUAUGUUGUUAUGACAGGAUUGACGAUGUAUGUUUAUUUAUAUUGUAAGUUGCAACUUUAAAGGUUUUCUUUGUUAAAUCUAGUUGAAACUUGAUUCAUUUAGAGUUAAAUUUCUUACUUCAAAUUGUUGCUUUUAGGCUUAUUAUUGUGUAACUUUAUGCAAGCAACAAAAAAUUUUAACCAUUUGAUUUUGUACUAAUAAUUUUAGCUUAGCAUGCCACCAAAUAAUUCAUGGCUCCGCUAUAGAAAUCUUAGCAUGUGCAAUUUCAAAGUCUCGGUUGCCAAGUCUCCCCAGGCUGUUCAGCACCCAUUCUGAAUCUUGAUCGAGAUCUAGAGCAGUGCAAGUCAAGGAGUCUUCAUUCUCAUUUGAAACAAUGCUAAAAUUAUACCUCAGCUUGGACUCCUUGGGCAAAAUAUACCCAAAUGUAUUAGUACUACUUGUGGAUACACCACUAGUCCAAAAAAAUCACCUCUCCUUUCUUAAUCUUCAAUUGGUGAGGGUCCCAAUCAAGCGUGAAAGGCCCCGGCGCACGGUUGGCUUUAGUUUCCCAUGAUGAAAUCGACGAAACAUGGCCGUUUGUACGGUUGACACCCAAUUUCAUGCCCGGUAAAAAGGUGUCAACUGGUAAUCAAAGCUUUACGUUCACUUCUUCUUGUACAAAAUUUCCCGAAUCCAAAAGGAUAGCCACAACAGUAGCAAUACUGUACUUAUGUUGGUAGACCUAGUAGUUUGUGGAGCUGAGAAAAACGCAAUUGGAUUAGGAUCCCCCCCGCAUAAUUUUCAAGGUUUUAUUCCUGUCCAAGGCAAGAGUGCGUACAAAAUAGGGGCUUUACGGUUGCAAAUCCAAGCAAUGUUGCCAUCGGCCUUGUUGCUCUGGAUAGAUACGUAGCUGGUGCUUUUGGAACUGUCGUCGUGUACACAGGAACUGAAACUGAACUUCUCCGAUGCAGAGACCAAAGAACUUGAGGAGUUGAGAGUGUCUCCUGCUGGUUUCAGUGUGUCCCUUGCACUUGCAGCAUUGUGACAGGUCCACAGUCAGCAUGCAAAAAUGAUUAAGUUGAUUAUUGCCAUGAUUAAUUAAUGACCAUAACAUGAAGUUUAAUUUCUCCAUAUGAUGAGGAAGAAAGACAUGAAAUCCAUCACCAGAACAUGAUUAAGAAUUUAAUCAAGCAACGCGUCUUAGUUAAACCGUUACAAUCUUUGUACAAGGCAUUUAUAAAUUAAAAAAAAAGGGAAUAAAGUAAUAAUUACAAGUUUUACACAAGUGACCAUUUAUUACAAUGGUGGAAAGGUGUUAAGCUUUUGCAUGACGGUGUGAGUUCGAACCUCGUCGGUAGUUAAUCUAACUUAUAAUCUAAUAAAAUCUAUUUUUUGACCAAAAAAAAAUAAUUACAAGUUUUACUAAAAAUUUAGGGGUGUGAUAUCCACACACCCCUUUUUACUUCUCUCACACAUUUUUGAUUUCGACCGUCAAAUCGGAUGAGUUGAAGAAGAUCAACGGACAGAAAUUAACAAGGGAUGUGUGAGAAGUAAAAAGGGGUGUGUGGAUAGCACACCCCAAAAUUUACCGGAAGACUUGAUCACCCAUUUGUAUGCUGACAACGGUGACUAGAUUCACAACCUCUUUCCCACGUAAAUCACAUCAUCCAAUUUUAUUUUUCUUACAACAUAUCACGCAUCUGUCAUAUGCAAGACUUUUUUUUUUGUAUAACAUGAAAAAGAAGACUUUUUUGGAAUAUGGAGAGUGAAAUUGCAGCGGAAGCAUCCUAGAUUUUUGAUCGAAUAUUGAGUUUGGUUUGAUGACAGACUUCCUGGAUCAAACACACCCUAAAAAAUAUAUAUAAAAAACCAAUAAGGUCAUGUGAUACGACAUCAUUUCAAGAGGAAAGGUAAAAACAAUCUAGUUUCUAUACUAGGAAGAUUCACUCGAACAAAUUCUUGGAAACUAUGACUCAAACAAAAUUCUAGGAAUUCAGUAUUUUUAACAAAUGAUAAGCGUUUAAGAUAUAUUCUUUAUAAUAUUAGAGAAAUCGAACGGUUGAUGUAUAACUCGCAAAGUGGUUGUAGCUCAAGUAAUUUUACUCCCCAAUUUUACAUAAAACAUAAAAUAAAAACAAAUCCUAAUUUACAUGGUAAUUUUUUUUCAUAGCUAGGGACAACUUCGACUAUGGUAAUGCAAUUAAUAUACACUAGUUUUGGAUGGAGAAGUUUCAAGAUUGAGUAUGGGAUGGGGAGGGGCGAGAGACUUGGAUGGAGAGGUGAGGUUUUAUGAGUUAAACAGUGAUGCAAGGAUGUAUUACUUAAAACUUUAGAGACCGUAUGUUGGGCUAUAUAUAAUAUACGUUCCAUGGAUAAUUGUUUAACUCAUAAACGUUUUGAGUGUUUCUAACAUAUGCUUAUCAAAAGCCUUCUCGUUCCAUCAAACAAUACGAAAAUUUUCAAUUGAAUGAAAGACAUACUAUUUUAUAUAUCACAGUACUUCAUGGAUCAUCAUCAUCACAUAUCCUUAAUUCAAAGGUAAUAAAUGAGCAUCUAGUUUUAUUUUAAUUUUAUUUUAUAUAGGGACUACAGAAGCAAGCACCCUCUGUAAAUUAAACUCUAAAACUUCUCAAGUAUCUUGAAAGGUGCCAAAAGCCAUCAGCCAACUCCAGUUGAUGCAUAACCUCCUACAUUUACAAAAACAGCGUCGCCGUUAAUUUAUUGACUUCUUCCCAGGACACAUACCAAUUUGCGAAAGUGGUUUGACUGAUGCUAAUUAGUCGAGUAAAGUACAGUCUUUUCAAUUAAGCAGAUGCAAAACACUUAGUUGAGGCACUACAAAUAUGAUUUUUACCUUUAAUUAACGCGCUUCAAAAUCUGAACUGGACAUGUAGUUUGCUGAAGCAACAGUUUCAAGUUGCUGAUUCCCACUUAUACCAGCCUCCACCGUCCUCCUUCCAACAAAAAAUGCUGGCUUUGUUGGUGAUGCUAAUCGAAAGCUUUCAUUUGUCAACAUAGAUAUGACAUCUGACAUGGUAGGGCGAUCUGCUGCAUUUUCUUCUACGCAAAGCAGACCGACAUGGAUGCAUCUUAACAGUUGCUCUUUAAUAAACGAAUUUCCUAAUGUUGGAUCCGUUAAUUCUAGCCCUGCACCUUUUUUCCAUAACUCCCAUGCCUGAAGAACAAGGAUUGCAUUUCAUUCUAAAGAAGAAAAAUAUGAUUAUAAAUUUUAAGAGAGAGAUUUGUUUGUCAUACAUAUCCUACUAAAUUGAGUGCGCGAUCGUCAUUGUAAAAGCUGUUGUUUUUCCUUCCACUUAUGAUUUCAAGCAUCAAUACCCCGAAACUGUAGACAUCAGACUUUACAGAAAUAAUUCCCCCCACGGACUCUGGAGGCAUGUAACCACUGCACGAAAUGAAAAAGAAAAUUAGUCAGUAUACUUAUCUGGAAAAAUGCGUGUUUAGCAGUCAAAAGGGGAGGACCACGUCAAUGUGAUGCAGAAAUACUUACAGUGUCCCCACAACCUUUCUAGUGUUUGCUUCCAAUUCAUUUUGGGUGAAAAUCCUUGCCAUACCAAAAUCUGAAAUUUUUGGGUUCAUGUUUUCAUCAAGUAGUAUGUUACUAGCUUUUACAUCUCUAUGAAUUACUUUCUUUCUUGAGUAUUUGUGCAGAUAAAGCAACCCUUGAGCAAUUCCUUCGAGAAUGCUAAAACGCUUCUUCCAAUCUAGUAGUAGACCUCUGAUUGGAUCUGUCCAAUAUGUAGAGUUAAGUAGGACUAAUAUUAAUUAAUAGUAGUACUCUAUGAACUUUGACAGUAAAAUAAAAAUCAGAUAGUAAAUUUAACAAAUGAAAUCAAGUAUCUUGGUUCCUCACCAAAUAAAAAGUGGUCCAAACUUUUGUUCUGCAGAUACUCAUAUAUCAACAUCAUUUCUUCACCAUGAAUGCAAAAUCCGAAAAGGUGAACCAGGUUUGUAUGUUUGAGUUCAUAUAUAAGUAUCAGUUCAUUCUUGAAUUCUGAUGUUCCUUGCCCUGAACAUUUCGAAAGCCUCUUCACAGCUAUUUCUUGUCCCGUCGCCAAUUUCCCCUGAAUUGAUAAUCCAUAUCAUGUUUUUGCUGUCAUCUUUAGGCAAAUGAAGCUAAUUCCAUUUUUUUUCUUACAGCUUUUGAAUUAGAAGCAGAAAUAUUUUUUUUUCAAAAUGUUACCUUAUAAACCGGUCCAAACCCUCCUUGUCCUAGCUUGUUUUCUUCAGCGAAGUUUCUUGUGGCAGCCACGAUGGAUGAAUAGCUAAAAACGCUAAAAUCAUGAUGUCGCUUAGAUUUCAUGAAGAUAAGCAUUUCGUUCUCAAUCUCUGGCCAGUUCUCACCUAUACAGAUCAAUUAUAAGAAAUUAAAGUUUCAAUGGAGACAACAAUUGUCAAAGAUGUGAUUAAUAAUCCUGUCUUACUGGUGCACAUGAUUUAAAGAAAUAUACCAGCUGAUGCAAGGGCUGAUCUUCUUCGUCGGAGUAGAUAGUACGCGGUGCAAAGCACUAGAGCAGCAGCUAUAGAAAUGCCAAUCCAAACCCAUUUAUCUGCUGCAUCAUAAACAAUUAGCUAGCAACAUAUGCAAUAAGUGUAACACACACGCACAUGUACGCAUUAAUUGUCUUCAAUUUUUGGAUGAACUAGGUCUUGCAGGUUUCUUCCGGAAAACGAAGAAAAAUUCGAGACAGAGAGCAGAACUUAAGACAACAAUAACAAAGAUAGAGGUACCUAAUAAUACUGAUUCCACGCGUGUCACAGAUUUCCGGCUCAAAUCGGGUUUGCAGCCUCGGUAUAUAUCCUUCGGAUCAAGAAAAGAAAACCCUUUUGGGCAUUCGCAGGUUGGCCUUUUAUCUGGUUUGAGCAUACAGGUACUGUUGUAACCGCAAACACCAACGCCCAGUCGUAGGCAAAUAUCAUCCGGCAUAUACACCAGAGGACUAAUCCAACUUGCAUUUCCCGUGAAGUUUUUCGGGUGAGAAUAUAAAGCGAAAAUCCCAUCAAAAUCAAGAGUUGCCCUUAUGUAGUUGUCCCUCACCGACACUCCCUCUGUCCCCUUAAGAGGAACUCUUCCAUCAUUUUCUCUUAGAACAAACAUGUCCCCUGAGCUGCUGAACACCAAUCGUUUGCCUUGACUACCUGGCACGUUCCCUGAGGUGGUCUUCGUGGAGAAGUAAGGGAUGUUGGCAUUAUCUGUUGUGACGGAAAUGAGCACGAGGUUUCCAUCACCUUGCAAGCUCAGCUGGAACCGCCCUUUUGUGUAGUUAGUCUCCGAUUGUCUACACGAAAGCGUCCCGUUUCUCUCAAUUGUCUGUCCAGGCAAAACGGUGUCUGUAGGACUGCUGAAGGUCUCCCACAAGCUCCCCGAGUUUUGGUGUUGAAGGACAAAGUUUCCGGUGUCAUUCAUGACCCCGUUCGCAACAGUCCCCAAGGUUAUUUCGGAUUUCCAUAUCUCUCCACCCUGAGGAUUGUUAAGAACUAGUCCACUGUUGGCAGUCAAGUUCAGAACUGAUCCCCCAGGUGCAACCAUGGGGUUGUUACCGUCAUAUGCAUACCAAACUACGGUUUUGUCUGGGAUUUUCGCAUACCAUAUCGAAAGCAAGAAACGAUCAUUGUUUCCGAGGGGCGAAAAUCCAAACGCGAAAUCACCGGAUGGAGAAAGCCAUGAUGAGGAGUCGCCUGUAGUUGCAGUUAGAGAACUCCCAACUGCUACUCUUCCAUUAUUUUGGGAAAUCACAGAAAUUGGUAGCAAAAACAAAGAGGAGAACAAAAGCAUCUCCACAGAAAGAGCCACUGCCAUUGCAAAAGCACCCAUUUUUCAACUUGGCUUGAUUGAUUAGCUAUAUUUCUUAGUAAAGCAUUGGUCCUUGUUAUAUCUUCAAGUAAAUGUGUGUGCACCAUGUGCCAAUGUGCCAGUCAUUUUCUAAGUUUUUGCCUGGAAUUAAAGGCGUCUACACCAUUUUUUGAAGUCAGUCUUACCUAUCUGCCACGACAUGACCUCAGACCUCGCUACGUCACACACAACAAUAUCUCCGGGCCUACAGAAUAAUUCUCCGAACCUACACAUAUCACAAGAAUUUCACUUUGAAAAAAAUAAUAUAAUGAAUAGUUCUAUAUAUAAUGACACGAUAUUUUUGGUGAUAGAACUUAUUGUCUCUCCCAACUCUGUGUAAUGUUGCAAGUUGGAUCAAUAUUGAUGUAAUUAUUAAUGGCCCGCUAACUUGUCUCUCUCAAAUCUCUUUUCAUCCUACUCUCAUCCCUCGUCCGUUUUAUGAUUCUACUUACUUGAGCACUUAUAAGUGUUCCAAAUCAGCAAAGGACUUGUAACUUAAAUAAUUAAUAAUAUUUAUCACUACACUGGGGAUUCUAGGUUCCAAAAUAUAAUAUAUAAUAUAUAUGAAUGUUCCAAACCAAAAGGACAAGUAAAUACGAGCAUGACUCACGUGGCAUGUGUCGGCCAUUCAAGUCCAACAAUCAAAAUUCAACAAUGGGACCCACAAAGAAAAUUUGAAAACAGACCUCCAGAACCAAACAAAGACGACUAGGCCUUUAUGUCAAGUAUUAAGAGACUUACAUCAUCACAAAAACAAAGACGACUAUGUCUCUGACACGCCCCGAUCCCGAUGUCCUAGGGACAAAGGGAUGGUCACGUGCUGGCCGACACCCGAAGGGUGACGAAAGCCAUUUAUUGAGUGCAAAUGCUGACAACAAGGGAUAGAUAAGACUUAUAAAUAUAAAAGAAUAAAGAAUAUGCCUUUAAGGAACGUGUUCAGAGCAUACAACUAACUAGAAUACUAAAAGAAAUAAUAUAUAAAAAUUGAAUGAAUAACAGAAUGGGUCCUACACCAAGAAGACUCAAAGAUGCCGAUGUGGAAGUGCCUUGACGUCGGGAUUGUAUGCCUCGAUUCUAUGCCCUGAAGGGGGCGCAAAACAAACAUGAGUGGACCAAUUUGAUAUAUAUAUAACAAAACAGUUAUCAACGUACUAACCCCCAAGUUUUAUGAAAACACAUAUAUAAUGAUAAACAUAGGUUUUCCGAAACCUAGCAUGCCGUGCAAUGUCUCAAAUCAUAACUCAUACAUAAUAAUCACUAGUGAAUUGUCCGAUAACCCCCAGGCCCCAUGCCGGCUCCCCGUCUCUGAGCAGACAGUCAGAGGAAAAUACACUUCAGGCCCCAUGCCGGCUCCCCGUCCCUGUGCUAAAUAGCCAGAGGAAACACACUUCAGGCCCUAUGCCAACACCAAACCGUCGCCCGGGACGGACCAGAAUCUAUCCCUACGUCCCGUAGCGGAAAGGACCACUAGGUAAAUACAAAACCAUUGAACAUAUAUAUAUUGAAAAACAACUUCAUAGUAUAAAGUCAUCCAUCAUCUAUACUAUAAAGAGGUGUUUGAAACAUGUUCUAAAUAUCAUAUCGUCAUCCAUCAGAUAUUCUAUAAGAACACGGGUUAUAGGAAAAAUAGUAAUAAUUCAAACUAGCCUCAGUAAGCAUGUUAUGUCACAAAACGUUUCAUAAAACGUAAUCAUCAAAUCAUGCUUUUCAUGUAUGCAUUUCUACUAUAAAACAUGCAUUUUAGAAGGGGUCCACUCACAGUACUUAGUUGCCAAAUGCUGCGCCACUAGCGAAGACGGAAACGUCACAAUAAUUGCCCCUAAGCACAUAAAUGGUACAAUAAAUAAAACUAUAUAAUAGAAAUUGAAUUUGAGAAAACGGACAUUGGAAACGGAUCCAGAACGUCGAAUUACCCUAAGAAGGGUUUGAAUUAAAUAAAAUAGGGAAUUUGGAAUUGAAUGGGUUUAGGGUUUUAAAGGAUUUGGGUUAUAAAGGGUUUAGGGUGAAAAUGGGUGGUUUGGGCCUAAGCCCAAACACACACACGCACCACACAAACACACACACGCACGGCAUGCACAUGCAUGCAAGCAUGCAUAUACACACACGUACGCAUGCACUUAAACACACACACACACACAAACCACAAAGGCCUUAAGGCCUCACACAAGGACCGGGCUUUAAGCCCUUUCACUCAAAACCGGCCCAAGGCCCUUUGGGCUGCUGAAAAUAAAUAAUUAAAUAGAAUAAAAACAGGCUGGGCUAGGCAGGGAAGGCCCAAAGCCUUGGGUUUUGGUGGAUCGCCGGAUCCAAUGGGAGAGAAGGCCGGAAAUUCGGCCGGAAAACCAUCCCACUUUAAACGGCCAUAACUUUAACAAUACUCAACGAAAUCAAGCGAGACAAAAACGAAAGUUAUAGCCCUUGAAGAGACGAAGAGAAUGAUACCUCACACGAUGUCUAAUUCGCCGUGGUUUGGCCGGAAAACGCCUUGAAAGCCGUCGGACUCGCCGGAAACUGGGUAAGAUUCAAAUGAGUAUAACUUUUCCAAUACUCAACGAAAUUGAGUGAAACAAAAAGGAAAGUUAUACUACUCGACGAGACGAAGAGAUUGAUACCUUGCACGCCGGCCAACUCGUCGUGGUUUGGCCGGAAAUGGCCUCGAAAGGGGCGGUGCUCGCCGGAGCUUACUCCGUGUCGUCGAACUCGCAGGGCAGGGUCCAGGGUUCGUUGCGAGCCUCUCUUCGAUGGUGACUCGGUCCUAGUGAGUCCAGGGGAAGAGAGAGAGCCGAGAGACAUACAGAAGAAGGAAGAAAAGAAAACAGAAAAGAAGAAGAAGAAAGAAGGGAGUUCACGGGGGAGGGACAGAGAGAGAAGGAAGAGUGACGGGAAUGGGGGACACAAAAACAGAAGGUGGGCCCCUUGGGCACACCAAUUAAGAAUUAAAAACCAUUUUUAAAUAAAAUGGGGGUGAGGUGUUACAGUCUCCAUUUCUGUAUUCACAAAAAACAAAAUACUAACUGAAGUUUUUAAUGUAUGAUUACGUCGUUGGGGUAAAACACCCCAGGCCGAGUUGUCACAGUCUGGCGCAAACGGACGCAGAGACCCGAACCACUCAUUUUAAAUCAUACGGCCUUCAUUAGCCUAUCUUAUUGACCCACAUCACACAAGGGGUUCGAAUCUCUCUCUCUCCCCUCUCUUAAACGGUUUGGAUAUCUCGGUUUGUCGAUUUUGGAUUGCGAGAUUCAGAGAGAAUCUGAUUUCGGGUUUAAGGUGUGGUUCGACGACCAUUUGAAGCCCGUUGAGGUGUGGCCCAUCUCAUCAGGUCGAGUCAGCCAUUUUGUACCAGGUUGGAUCCCAGGUCAGGCCAACCAUUUCAUUAGCCUAAGAUGGACCUGACAGACGAGGCGCUUGGAUAUUGCCCACCGCGACCAAAUGGACCCAUGGGCUCAUUAGAUGAUGAAUCUGGACCCAGGUGUGUGUAAAGCCCACCUCAGCUCGAUCCAUAUUUGACCGAUACUACAGAGAAGGUGGAGAUGAGGUAAAGGUAGGGUAAGCUCCAAGUCAUGUGGAGGUCAGUCAAGAUUGAACGCACGUUCAUAGAAUCAUAGUAUCAAAUUCAAGUCCAAAUUUUAACACUACGAAACCAAAAAGCAUGCAACUCCGAAAAACAUUAUUUCAGUCCAACAACCCAAACUUCCUUAAAAAACUAAGACCAAAACGACGACACCAGGAAACGGAAAAACAUGCAACUCAGAAAACCAUUGCUCUAGUUCAAAUGAGGUUCCUCAAUGCCUCAAGCUUUUCUAAACACCAUAGCCUGAACCUUUUCCUUUGCGCCUUCUUUGCUUCACCAGAAACGUUCUUAAUGAGCUCCUCUUCAAAUUUGAGACGAGUAGGCAUUAGGCUGUGCACAAUGCUGUAAAUGCCCCUAGCCCUUGCCACACCCUAGGUGCGUACGUGUGCAUGUCCGACCUGAGUUAUCUCAUUACGCGCGCAGUUAUAUCUUCCCCUAUUGACAUCCCUGCUGUCUAUUCUCCUACGAAUCCUUCUGCUGGUGACUUCAUCCGGG